GUUUCUCUUUCUUUUUUAGGAAGAAGGCAGCAUCCUCAGUUACAAGGACUGUUGAACUUGAUGAAGGUACUGUGGAUGUCUUUGUUCUGCUGUUCCUUUAUUCAAUUGUGAACAUACUUUCUGUGUCAAUGUUAGUUGCUUUGGCACAAUGCCAGCUGUCAAAUUAGCUGCUCACUGCAAUUGUGAAAUGGAUGACUUUUCUAAGUCAUACAUAGAUCUACCAAAUCAGGUGGAGCUUUUUUCUGUGCUAAGUGAUUUCAUUAUAUUAAUGUUAGUUACUGUUUUUUAUAAACCGAUAAUCUGAAGCAUGAAUGGAAUCACCUUUAUUCCGAAGAGUUCUAAGUUUGCUGCUAUUCGAAGCCUAUUUUAUCAAUUUGCUUCCAUCCAGAUAAAUUGUUCUCUUUCAAUUCUUUUUAUUGAUGACCGGGCCUCUUUUCAGAAUCUUGAGAACCCUGGCCUUCUCAGCUGGCCACAUGGUCAUGCUAAAUGGACUGUGAUCCUUAAUUUUGAGUCUGCAGAUUGCUUUCUAUUUUACUAGAUUUUGCUUGAUCUUGGGUUUAGGUGUGCCCGUUUUGGCCGUUCUCUUGAAUAACUUUAGAACAACGGCACAAAUGAUUAGUUUUGCUUACUUUCUGCACAAUGUAUGCACUCAAGAUUUUUGAUGCAAUCUCGUUUUGUUCACUUUGAUUCUAUUGCGCAAAACUUUGUUAAUAAGUCCUUGGCGUUUAACUUAAAUUUGGAUGUCAGCAUUUUCAACAAAAAGGAACCUAGCUUCUUUCAGAGGUUUAGCAUUGUAUCUUUAUCCUACCUAAAAGCUUCUAACAGGGUCCUAUGGGUACAGUGGUUUCAGGCAUUUUAAAUGUUACUGUGUACACUUACAAGGAACUGCGAAUUGCCACUGAGAACUUUCGUGAAGAAAAUAAAAUUGGUCAGGGAGGCUUUGGCUCCGUGUACAAGGUAACUGCCUUUAGAAAGAUAUUGCUGAUGACUUUUGUGGAAUACUUGGUCAUGAGCACUUGAUUGUGCUAAAGACUUUUUGCUGACAUUUACCUCUACAGGCUGACAGAUAAUUGUAAAAUGUGUUUGAUCAGGGCACACUUAAGAAUGGCACUUUGGCAGCUAUAAAGGUAUUGUCAGCAGAGUCUAGGCAAGGGUCAAGGGAAUUUUUGACAGAAAUCGAGGUGAUUGCAGACAUUGAGCAUGAUAACCUGGUUAAGCUAUAUGGUUGCUGUGCAGAAGGCAAUCAUAGGAUACUGGUUUAUGGCUAUCUCGAGAAUAAUAGCCUUGCACAAACACUUCUUGGCAAGUAAUAUUACUUGGUUCUUAUUUGAAUAAAUUAAUUGUGUGAGUAAUGACUUACUCUCUCUGUACUUUAUAGGUGGAGGCCACAGUAGUAUCCAGUUUAGUUGGUCUGCAAGGUGUAAAAUAUGCAUUGGUGUUGCAAGGGGGCUUGCUUUUCUCCAUGAGGAAGUUCAGCCCCAUAUUAUUCACAGAGACAUUAAAGCUAGCAAUAUUCUCCUUGAUAAAGACCUCUCACCAAAAAUUUCAGAUUUCGGUCUGGCAAAGUUUAUUGCACCCAACUUAACUCAUGUUAGCACUCGUGUUGCUGGAACAGCGUAAGUUUUCCAGUUCCAGUUCUACUCUUUUUCAAUGUGUUUAAAUUUACAGUGGACAUUCAGCAAGGGAAUGGAUGAUUGUGGGCCUCAGUCGAUUGUAAAGAUAUAAUGUAAAAAUUAUAGUUUGAAAUGUAACGAACAAAAACAAAAUCUAUUGUGCUAGUGAAAUGUUUGGUAUGGGCUGCAUGGUGUUCCAUGUGUCAGGCAGGCAGUCAACAGCGAUUUGUUCAUGUUGAAGGUUGUCGGAACGUGAAUGCAGCCCUAAAUUCUGGUUUAAACAUUAUCAUAGAUGUCUUCAAAUAUGUGACCAUGAUCAGAUAAUUAUACAAAUUGACCUUUGAAGUCUUGCCCAUAAAUUUUCACUAAACUUUUUAUCUCUUUUUCUUUUCACUAUUACCAGAUUACUUGUGAUUAUGUUGACAUACUUGGUUCCCUGUUUGAUUUUUGCAGAGGUUACUUGGCACCUGAGUAUGCCAUACGAGGUCAAGUGACAAGGAAAGCAGACGUCUACAGUUUUGGUGUUCUGAUCUUGGAAAUUAUUUGCGGGAGGUGCAACACAAACAGACGAUUACCAUUAAAAGAACAAUAUCUUCUUCCAGUGGUAUGAACCUUUCUGAAAUAUCGUAUAAUUCUAUGAAUUAGUAUUUGCUUUCAUGACUAAAUUGAACCCUUUCGACUGGCUUAUAGAUUUUACUUAUAUAAGAUUUAUUACAUUAACAUGUGCGGGAGUGAUGAUCCUUGAUGAACCUAGUGUGUGUACUUUUUGACCGAAUACUUGAAGUGCUACUAAGCAUGAAUAUUCAGUCCAACUUCACAUUCAUCUACAAACAGGGUAUAUUUUACCCAGUAAACUUCUGCAUUUCUUUAGAUGUACAUUCAUCUACAAACAGGGAUUGUAUUUUACCCUAUAAACUUCUGCACUUCUUAUUCUAGAUGUGCAACAUCACAUUCAUCUACAAACAGGGCUUAUAUUUUACCCUGUAAACUUCUGCAUAUCUUAUUUUAGAUAGCUUUGUGCCCCAGCUCCCCAUCACUGAAACAGUUGCCUCUUUGUGACUGUAUCAUGUAUUAUCUUAAGAUUGCUCUUACAGUUGUAGGAGGGAGCAAAAAUUAAAUUUCUGAUUUUCUAUGGAAGAUGUAUUUCCUUUCAUAGUGUUAGAAUCCUCGAAAGAAAACAGUAUAAGAAAGACUAGGCAUUUACUCUGUAGUUAAGGUGCACUAGCCUUGCAAGAAAGCUUGCCAAUUUCUUGGCCAGCAGCAAUGAUAAAACCGAUGUUAACAACUUUAUGGCAAUUCUUUUGCUGAUUAAUGGCACUACAGCACAUGUAAAAGAAUUGUCAUGAUCACAACCUUAUAACUUUCAAAAUUCUUUUGAUGGAUCUCUUUUUCCCCACCAAAUUCUGAAUAGUUAUAUAACCUGGAUAUUCUAGCAUUCUUCCUUAUAAUUAUUUUAGUUCAUCAGAACCAUUUUUUAUAUAAAAUUGUUAAUUGACUCAAAACAUCAUAGAUUGACUUGAUAGCUAAUUACUUUCCUUCAAUUUGUUGGGUAUCAAUAUUAAUACUAGAACAUGGUUCUGAGACUAUGUGACAUGUUUGUUCAUGACUGCACCAGAGCCUCUUGAUGAAUCCAUCAAGCUUCUUUAGGUGCUUAUUUUUAGUGAAAACCCUUUACUUUUUUUUAUAAAAGGUUAAUGAUCUCUAUUAGCUAUGAAUGGUUGAUAAUUUUUCAAUUUUAUAGAAUUACUACUAGAAUCUUGAGAAGACUUAUCAAAUAAACGUUCGUGUUGCAGGUAUGGGAACACCAUGAGAGGGAGCAGCUGGUGGAGUUAGUAGACACAGCAUUGAAUGGAAUAUUCAAUGUUGAGGAGGCUUGCAGAUUCCUAAAGAUUGGCCUUCUCUGCACUCAAGACAUGCCCAAGCUCCGACCAUCCAUGUCUACUGUUGUUGAGAUGCUGACAGGUGAAAGAGAUGUGAAUGAGGAGAAGAUAUCCAAACCAGGACUGCUUUCUGAAUUCAUGGAUCAGACAGAAGGCCACAGGGAUAAGGCCACUGCAAGACCUUCAUCUUGCACAGUAUCUGCCUCAGGGAGGUUUAUCAAUACAUCAUCAUCAUCAGAAAACAUAACUACUUCAUUUGCCACAAUGACCUUCAAUUCUAUAUAUGACCGAAGCAAUUAGGGCAGGCAGAAUCUCUUUUUGGUUAUUGUCUGGUUUGGCCAGGCAGUCAGCAUAUGAAUUCUUCUAGGUUAAUAUCAUUUUUUGCUUGGGUAUGUCUUGAGUGCAUUGGCACACCCUGUUAGGGGAACAAGUAGUAAUAUGCUAUGAAAGAAUACUUUUGUAGGGCUACAGUUGGUGUAAAUGUUUAUAAUCAAUUAACUUUAUCUUUUCUUGCUUUGUAGAGAAAGUUUGACUAUAUGAACAAUACUUCCACCCCUUUCUUCAGUUCCAGGCAUUGUGUGCAGACAGGGUUUCUUUCCAAGUUUUACCUGACUGGAACUGCACUCUGAAAUAAGCUUCCUACACUCUUUGUAAACUCAGGCACGAGGAGUGCAUGAGGCUUACUCAAAUUGGAAUUUGUUCUAGCUACAAAUGGAAAUCAGGUCAUGGUUGACCAGCAAAGGGGCAUUGGAGCAUCUAUUUGUGACAGAAUCAUUUCUCAGCUAAGUUAAAUUAUUUAAUUAUAUAUGAUGAUGAAGUAAUUUUUUGGGUAAGGUGGCAUGCCUACUUCAGCUAAGUUUCUUGAUUUAUGGUGCACACGUCUUCAGAAAUGGUUAUUCUCUUCACUGGAUAAUAGAACUGUUGAUGAACAUUGAAAUGGAAUCAAGAUCAUACAACUUUGAUGAAUUCUGUCUAAUCUGAUUCCGCUUGAAUUCGGAUGCAUGGUACGAAAUUAUGAGGAAUCAGGAUAUUUUGAAGGCAUGCGAAAAUCAAAAUUUUAAAAUCGAUCCAAACUGGCACCAAUAACGUUCUAUGAAUCAGGAUGUUUUGGAUUUGAGGCACCAAACCCAGUUUUGGAACAGAGUAAGCAGUACAUGAUACAAUAGUUUGAUCAUCCUAAAAAGAAUAUACAAAAGAAUUAAAAGGAGAAAUAACAUUAACGAUUGUAUAUCCUUGUAUAAGAACUAUCUAGCUAGUUUCUGUUUCUGCAGCAUCUGUACCACAGAAUGAGAAGACAAAGCACUCUAUAACCAAUUAUGAAACCAAACAUCACAGCUAAAUUGCUCCACUUUUGUGUCUCCCUUAAACCCUGUUGUCUUAAGAAUCCAUCCCCAAAUAGAUUGCAUCCAUCUUUGUCAAUUUGUAUGCACCUUCUUCCCUGCUCGCCUCCAUACUCAUUUAUUAUAAAACACUCAAAAGGGUACUUGAAAAGACUUGAGUAGUGCAUGAAAAUCCAGUAACUUGGUAUGCUAUCCUUCGAUAUGAAGUACCCAGAAAAGAGAAAAAAAGAUCCCAUGAGCCCUGAAAUCAAUGAAGUUCCCAUGAUGAAGUUUGGCACGAGAGCACUGAAACAAGCCACAACAGAAUUGGACAUCAGAAGAACCAUCCAGACCACCAGAGAGAAGUAGAGAAAUCCAUCAAUGUUCCUCCUUAAUCCAACCAACCAGUACACUGGAGUGGAAUAUAGAAGACCAACCAUGAAAAGAAAAGGAAGAAAUAUGAGGGUGUUUGCUAUAACAUAGGAGGAAACUCUAUAAGCUCCUUUGGAAGUCUCACUCAUUAGAAUUCUUCUCUCUUGUAAGAAAAUUGGUAAGCCUUCUGUUGUGGAAGAUAGCAAGAAAGUGAGGCUGAAGGCAAAAAAUCCAGUUUGGGUUUGUAAGGCAAUGCUCCCUUUUUCCCUGCCAACAUUUAAGAAAAUGGUCCCAAGUACCAACCCAGCUACCAAGGCUUGUAUGACUCGUGUGACAAACAGUUGCUUGGUUCUAAAUAUGUUGCUGCAAAAUCUUUGUCCUAGUAUAACAACUUCCUCGAGUCGAGAAUUUGGGUAGAUUAGAAGCUUUCCUUCCAAAUUGUGAGAGCAUACAUGCCUUUCUUGCAAAGGGAAAGGAUGGAUGUUCAAGGCUUCUGAAGUUGGUGUACCAUCCAAGCUGCCGAUAACAUCAAUGGCGAAUUCGAGCAGAUUGACAUGGUUGGGGAGGCAAUGGCCAGCAGAAUUGAGUCUUUGUUGGAGAAGAUGCAAUGAUCCAUUAUGCAUGACCGUGCCAUUGGAAAGCAGAAUAAUGCGGUCGAAUAUCUCUAGGAUUCGAAAACCAGGUUGGUGAAUGGUCAGAACAAUAGUCUUGCCUUGAUUGACAACCAUAGUUUUGAGCAAGGACACUACAUGGAAAGCUGAGGCAGAAUCCAGACCUGAAGUUGGUUCAUCAAUCAAAAUCACACCUGGAUCAUGAACUAAAUCAACUCCAAUUGAAACUCUGCGCCUUUCCCCACCUGAAAUCCCAUUGUUGGAUCCCCAACCAAUUCUUGAAGCUGCAACAUGCUCCAACCCAAGCUCCUUCAUCAGCUGUCUCACUUUAGAUGCAGCCUCUUUUCUCCCACCAUGAAGCCUUAGCAGAGCACUAAACAUGAGUGUUUCUUCAACUGUAAGUAAUGGGAAUAGGGCAUCAUCUUGUGUGACAUAUCCCGAUAUUCUCCGAAAACUUUUGGUGUCCAUAGGCUGAUCAUUAACCAGCACUUGACCACAAACUUUCUUUGGAGAUAUCUUCCCAGCAAGAAUCUCUAGCAGUGUGGUUUUUCCAGCCCCACUAGGACCAGCAAUUGCAGUGAUCUCUACAGGCCUUGCUUCACAGUUUACAUCCUUCAAAAUGAAACUUGGAACCCUCCUUGAAGUAGCACAACACACAAACUUCAUUUCAUCAAAUUGGGUACAUAAUUUGUAGCCCAGAUUUCUUGUUUCAAUUCUGUAUGGUGUUGUUAUCUGGCCACCAGAAACCGGCAUUGUCACCGGCAAUUCCAUGGAGCAGAAGAGUGAAAAGGGAGAGAGAAAUGGGAUAUUUUGUGGGAUUGUGUGAGGAAAUGGAAGAGAUGAGCUAACACACCAAAUUGGGUGUUGCUGCACAAGUUAAGCUCAGAGAAGAAGCCAGCUUUGAUAUUUUUGUGAUGCAUGGGUAGUUUGAGAUAACAUGUAUUUGACUUGGUGUUGCUCUAUUUUUUUCUAUGUUCUUGUUGGCAAACAUAACUUCUGAUGGGGUUUGGAGAGUUGGAGGAGGGCCUCAAGAAAACCAAAGAAAGAAAGUGCAUAAUUUACUUUGGGAAGUUUUUUCAGGUGAGCUGAUUAUUGACUGUGUAUGGUUGGUGUUGGUUGCUCGGCAGUUUGGUGGGAAAUUUGCUAAUUUGACCAAUUCGGCAAUUACAACAAUGGAGUUGCCAACUUUGGUUUUCUGGGCCUUUGCCAAACUACCAUAAGAAGAUCAAGCUUGUGCACUUUCUACUAUUGGCUAACUUCUAUCUAUCUCAUGCUUAUUGGAAGACAGCGAAAAUUCCAUUAAGAAAAAUAAUUUAGGGAACUUUUCUUUUUCUUCUAAUAAAAUUAUACAAAUUUCAACUCUCUAAUGUUACAUUAGAUUUCAAAAAAAAUUGAAAAAAUAAAAUUAAAACAAAUAAAACAUAAGUGAAUUGAUCAUGAGUUUUUCUAUUUAAACCCUGCACUUCUCUUUCACCCAAACUUGUAAUUCGAAAUUUCACAAUUUCUAAGAAAACCCACUAUCUUCUCAAACUACCCAUAAAACAAAAUUUAAAAAAAAACAAACAAGAAACUCAUCAACCUCUGAAGUUGAUGACCUUUUUUGUCUUUUUAUACAAAAACUUAAGAGCUUAAUGAUUUAAGUAUUAUGGUGAACAAAGAAAAGUGAGCGGUUUAAAUAGAAAAACUCUUAAUCAUCUAUGGCAACGUGGCAAGAGAUAGUAAUUUGAUAUGAAAUGGUUAAUGAUUUUGCAAUGAUCUCUACUAGCUAUGACAUGGUUGAUAAUUUUGCAAUUUGAUAGAAUUACUGCUAGAAUCUUGAGAAGACUUAUCAAAUAAAAGUUCGUGUUGCAGGUAUGGGAACACCAUGAGAGGGGGCAGCUGGUGGAGUUAGUAGAUACAGCAUUGAAUGGAAUAUUCAACGUUGAGGAGGCUGGCAGAUUCCUAAAGAUUGACCUACUCUGCCCUUAUGACAUGCCCAAGCUCCGACCAUCCAUGUCUACUGUUGUUGAGAUGCUGACAGGUGAAAGAGAUGUGAAUGAGGAGAAUAUAUCCAAACCAGGACUGCUUUCUGAAUUCAUGGAUCAAGACAGAAGGCCAUAGAGAGAAGGCCAACGCAAGACCUUCAUCUUACACGGUAUCUGCCUCGGGGAGGUUCAUCAAUACAUCAUCUUCAUCAGAAAACAUAACUGCUUUAUUUGCUGCUAUGACCUUCAAUUCUAUAUACGACCGAAGCAAUCAGGGCAGACAGAAUCUCUUUUUGGUUAUUGUCUGGUUUGAUUGAUCAUCCUAAAAAGAAUAUACAAAAGAGUUUAAAGGAGAAAUAACAUUAACAAUUGUAUAUCCUUGUAUAAGAACUAUCUAGCUAGUUUCUGUUUCUGCAGCAUCUGCCCCAGAGACUGAGAAAACAAAGCACUCUAUAACCCUCUUGUCUUAAGAAUCCAUCCCCAAAUAGAUUGCAUCCAUCUUUGUCAAUCUGUAUGCACCUUCUUCCCUGCACGCCUCCACACUCAUUUAUCAUAAAACACUCAAAAGGGUACCUAGUACCAACCCAGCUACCAAGGCUUGUAUGACUCUUGUGACAAACAGUUGCUUGGUUCUAAAUAUGUUGCUGCAAAAUCUUUUUCCUAGUAUAACAACUUCCUCAAGUCGAGAAUUCGGGUAGAUUAGAAGCUUUUCUUCCAAAUUGUGAGAGCAUACAAGCCUUUCUUGUAAAGGGAAAGGAUGGCUGUUCUAGGCUUCUGAAGUUUGUGUACCAUCCAAGCUACCGGUAACAUCAAUGGCGAGUUUGAGCAGAUUAACAUGGUUGGGAAUGCAAUGGCCAGCAGAAGUGAGCAUUUGUUGGAGAAGAUGCAAUGAUCCAUUAUGCAUGACUGUCCCAUUGGAAAACAGAAUAAUUUAGGAUUCGAAAACCAGGUUGGUGAAUGGUCAGAACAAGUCUUGCCUUGAUACAUGGAAAGCUGAGGCAGAAUCCAGCCCUGAAGUUGGUUAAUCAAUCAAAAUCACAGCUGGAUCAUGAACUAAAUCAACUCCAAUUGAAACUCUGCGCCUUUCCCCACCCGAAAUGCCAUUGUUUGAUUUUCAACCAAUUCUUGAAGCUGCAACAUGCUCCAGCCCAAAGCUCCUUCAUCAGCUGUCUCACUUUAGAUGCAGUGCAGCCUCUUUUCUCCCACCAGGAAGCCUUAGCAGAGCACUAAUCAUCAAUGUUUCUUAUAAUUAAAAAAAAUAAAAAAUAAAAAGAUAUAUAUCAAGAAAGUAAAUUUAGAUUCAUUUUAUUUUCUUCUAAUAAAAAUAAUAAAAUUUCAACCAUCAUGCAACAUUAGAUUCCACAACAGAUGAAAAAAAAAACACCUUAAGUGAACUAAUUUAAGAAAGGAAAAAAGUUCGCUCCUUAGAGCAUCUCCAAUCGAUAUGUUAAAUUGCCACAUGGACAUGAAAUGACAAAAAUUGAAGGUUAAAAUUGCUCCAACCGAGUAGUCAAAUCCUACAUGGAUUUGAAGGCUGUAAAAGAUGUCAAAAAUAACAUAUCAAUGCUACUUGGUGCCUCAAUGACAGGGGUUCGAAACUCGUUGGAAGCACUUUGUGGCUAGAGGCGAGCCGAACCUCGAGUGGGGAUUAAUCCCACCUUCGGGUGUAGGGACACCUCGUGAUAUUUACAAAAAAAAAAAGAAAAAAAAAAAAGAAAAGCUUGAUGUCCAAUAUUAUUUUAAUAUUUUUUUAGACAUAGACCCCACUAUUAUUUACUAUCCUUUAAAACUUUAUGCAUUAUAAGCCCCAUUUGCUUUUAAAAAUAUAAUAAAAUAAUAUUAUAUUUUAUAUUUUGGGUAGAAUUAAUUUUUUUUUCAAAAUAUCAAAUUACCACAUUAGCCAUCAAAUUCAAAUAUAAUAUUUUGCAUUUGAUCCUUCUCAAUUUUAAUGAGCCAAGUCAAUAUGCCAGUAAAAAACAACAAUUUACAUCAAAAUAAAAUAUUUUUUAUAUUAGUAAUUGAUUAAAUUAGAAAUAAAAUGAUAAGAAGAGACAUUUCGAAAAUCAAAUGCCGUCUGAUCUGCUGAAAAUGAAGAGGUAUUUAAGAACCACAGUCCCUCAGUACACUGCUAUUAUAAAACCUCCGCAAAAACCCUAACACCCUUAUCUCCUACUCUCGCUCUAGGGUUUAUCUCAGAGCCCCAAUCCUUUUCGCGAUCAACCAUGGCGACCCAUUUCUUCUCUCGCUCUCUUCCCAAAACCCUAGCCAUGAGCUCCUUCCUCUCUCGCUCUCUAUCCACGGCCACCUCCGCUGCUUUCCUAUCCACCGCCCAAUCUCGCUCUUCUCUCUCUCUGUUCCACCGCCUUCGUCCCCUCGCUGGAUUCGUCGCCUCCGCCGGUAAGCUCUCUCCUGCGUCCGUCGGGUGCUUCUCGACCAACUCGACGACGUCGUCGCUUAGAGAUCCAAACCCUAACUGGUCGAACCGGCCUCCCAAGGAGACGAUCCUCCUCGAUGGGUGUGACUUUGAGCACUGGCUGGUCGUCAUGGAUCCGCCUGAGGGUGAUAUCACCAGGGAUGAGAUCAUCGAUAGCUACAUCAAGACCCUAGCUGCGGUCGUCGGAAGGUAAGUGCGAUUGUUUAAUUUUUUUUAAUUGAUCAUUUUUAUUUGUUAAAUGUUUGUUUGGAUUAUGAGAAAUUGAUGGGACGGAAAUGAAAUGAAGUUUAUAUAUUUUCUGCCAAUUUUUUGUUUUUUUAGAAAUUACCAGCAGAUAAUAUACAUAUGUAUGUCUGUGUUUGUGGUAAACAAUAUCUUUUAAUUUAAAGAAGAUAACUUUUAUUUUAUAAUCACUUCUUAACUCUGUAUUGGGGGUAAUGUUUGGGUUAGGUUGAUUUCUGUUGAAUAGUGAAACUUUUGGCUGUUCCUUCUAUCAUCUGAUUCUAUUUUGUUUUCUCAAAUUAUCUUUGUUGUGCUAGAAAUUUGAUUUAUAUUAGAGCAUUCUUUUUUGCAAAGGUAUUAUUGACUUAAUUUCUUCGUGUAGCAUUUCACUAAGGCAUAGUUUAGGUCUAUGUCGAUUAGCUUUCUGCAGAUUUCUAUAGAUUUGCUUUUGGUAGUUUCUAUUGCUCUUUGUCAUUGGUCCUAGGGCCCUAUGGCUCUCUUAGCCACGUUUCUUUCUUGUAUCCUUCUUGUCUUUGGCAAUAUAUUAUCCUUUCUUUUCAAAAAAAUGUUUCACUAAAGUUAUAUUGUUCGUCUAUAUUAGCUGCGUAGUAUGGGAUUACAAAUCUUGGUGAUUGGCAUUGUGGUUGGUAGUUCUCCAGAAAAGAAAAAACUCCCAACUCCUUCUGGGGCCUUUAGUCUUUAGAAUCGGACCUGUAAUAACUCUAUAUCAUGGGCAUAAUGAUCUGAUGUAUAUAGCAUGGUUUUGAUCACUUUUACAUACUAAAUUUUAGAUAGAUUGAUAUCUUCGACGUUUCAACAAGUACCUGCAAUGGUAUCAUAUACAUCAAUUAUUAAUGUUGCCUGAAAUUUAUAUUUUGUACUAACUACCACACGUAACCAACUACGGUAUAAAAGAUAUGAUCACUCUGUAAUGUAGUUCACAUUGCUUGUAUUAAUUGAUUGAUGCAUUUGUUUGUGUCUCAACUACAGUGAGGAAGAAGCAAGGAUGAAGAUCUACUCAGUUUCAACUAGGUGCUAUUAUGCAUUUGGGGCACUUGUGUCUGAAGAGACUUCGUACAAAAUCAAAGGUACUUCUGCUUCUAUUGCUUGGGCUUUUGGUUGUUUUUUUUUUUUUUGUGUGUCCGGGUUCUCAUUUCUGUUUUGAACUUUUUUUUCCCCCAAAUUAUUCCAGAAUUGCCUAAAGUCCGGUGGGUACUUCCUGAUUCUUACUUGGAUGUUAAGAACAAAGAUUAUGGAGGUAAGAAUAUUCUCAUUUCUUCCAAUUGCAGUGAAAAAGUUGAAGUGUUUGUAGCAUUUGAAUUAAUUAAGUUAUAAACUUAUAACUAUGAUUGCCUAAUCUGUUGGGGCAGUCAUUGCCAUGGUUUUAAUUCUUUUUCUACUUUUUUUUUCCUGGGAAAUGAUAUUGUGGGACUAAUUAGCUAACUGCAGUUAUGAUUUGGACUUAGGCCUCUGCUAUUUUGGGGAUCUUUUAGUUGGGUCAGGUCUCUAAAGCCUGUUUGGUUUUUAUUUCUAAUUCUGUGUAGUUGCUUCUGGGGUGAAUUGCCCUCCCCACCCCAGUUCACAAAAGAAAAAUAGACAGUUUUGGUCUCUAGAAUUCGAUGAUGAAAAUUUUCCUCUUAGGCAGUCAAUGUUAGCCCUCGAAGUUCGCAUAAUUGCUUUUUGAAUGCUGUGUAUGAUAGUAAUUGUCUUUUUAAUACUGAUAUUAUAGUAAUCUUAAACUGCCAUUCUGUUGUACAUUGUCUACCCGUUUAUUCAUUUGUUUUGAAUUAGUUUUUCGGCAAUAAAGUAUUCAUUUGUACAUGAUUGUCUGCUUUCUUGUUAUUUUUUUGUUUUGGCAGGCGAACCUUUUAUUAAUGGUGAAGCAGUACCAUAUGAUCCCAAGUACCAUGAGGAAUGGAUAAGAAACAAUAGCCGAGCAAACGAGAGAAACAGACGCAAUGACAGACCUCGAAAUUAUGACAGAUCAAGGAACUUUGAUAGGAGGAGGGAAAAUAUGCAGAACCGAGAUUUUCAGAACAGGGGUCAGCCUCCUAUGCCUAAUCAAGCUGGGCAAAAUCCUGGGCCUAACAUGCCUGGACCUGCCAACAACAUGAGGACUCCCAACAAUAUGGGCCCCCCGCCCCCCAACACGGGUCCAAUGCCUCCCCACAACAUGGGUCCAAACUACAGUAAUGUGCAGCAGCCAAACAACUGGAGUGGUGGCCAGCCCAACAACAAUAGCAAUCAGAUGCCUCAUAAUUAUAAUCAGAUGCCGCCGCCACCGCCUAACUACAAUCAGAUGCCCCCCAACAACAUGGGAGGUGUGCCACCAAACAACAUGAGAGGGAUGCCACCAAACAACAUGGGAGGAGUGCCCCCACCACCAAAUAACAUGGGAGGUCCACCGCCUAAUGCAGGAUGGGGGAGUCCUGGGCAAUACCAAGAUAACUACACACCAGGCAGGGACGAUGGAGGCAUCCCCGGUACAAACCGUUACUGAGCUUGAGGCUACGUCACCAUGAGUCUUGUAGGCAUGCUGUAGAUAAGCAAGGAGGCUGCUCGAGAUGGGCUGUAGGUUUUUCAUGUCACCGGUCUGGAAUGAUAUUUUGUUUGACUUAUUGCUGGGUGCGAACCUGGUUGCCUUUUUAUCUGAAUAUGAUUACACUUUCAGGGUCGAAUCUGAUUGGAUUAAUCGUAUCUUUGCUUUGCUACUUGGUACUGGUCAGGUCAUGUCAUGUCAUGUCAUGUAGUGCACAUAUUUGCAGAAAGCAGAAGACUGUUUAAUGAAACCACUAUGAUAGGGCAAUGCGCUCUUAUUUUUCAUCGAUUAGUCAUCCUCCUAAUCAAUUGAAAAAUCUAAACAAAACCCAAAAAUCAAUUAUAUGUAUAAUUUUUUUCUGUCAGUGCCUGAGCUUGUGCUUGGCUUAGUAACUUAAAUACAGGAAGAAUGGUGAAUACAAUCCAAUUCACUUCAUCGUCAGUUCAUUCAUCCCAUUCAACAAUACAAACAAAACCCACAAAGCAAUUAUACGAAGAAAUUAUUCUCUCUCUCUGUCUCCGUACUUCUGCUUGCAGCUUGCUUUAGUAACUUAAGAACAAGUGAUCACAGCCCAUUUAGGUUAACCCAGGGUAUGACAGCUGGAAGUUCUCCCGAAAAUGGUGUAUCCAAUUCUAACUUUUAAAGACUUUUUUUUGAGUAAAUGACUUUUCUAGAGUUGACAAAUUCUUAAUGACUUUUACAUACUUUAUAAAGUUAAGUGACAAACUUUCAUAUACUUUUGUCAUAGAGUUUUAUAGACUUUUAAAUACUUAUUUUUAUAUUUAUUUUACAAAUAGCAUUUAUCUUUUAUGUUGAUUGAAUUAGUCGGCAUACAUUGAACAAAAAAUUAGGGAAAAAAACAAUUGGAUACAAUUACAUAAAAGCAAAGAAUAGUUCUCCUUAACAUUAGAAAAUGAUAAAAAUGACAAAGUACAUUUGAAAAUGUACCAUAAGGAAAUAAUUGGCGCUCAACUAGCCAUGAUUCAGUUUACAAAAAAGCUUAGCCGUGAUUCAUUUCAAUGACAGUGAAUAAACCAUAAUACAAAUUCCUUUUGAAAAUUCCAAUGCUCAUUACCGUUGAGUUCCGUUAUUAUCUUGCAUGGCAUUUCUCCACAUGUCAGAAGCUAUACCAACUCUCCAUUCAUUAGCAUUCUCUCGUUGUUGUUCUUGAGUUUCAAAAACUUGUUCCACAUUAUCUCCUUCAUUCCCUGGUAAUGGUGAAGAUGAUGAAGACUCAUUCUCUAGUUCAAUAGGAAAUUCAUCAGAACGACAUUCCCUACGAAGAAAAUUAUGUAGUCCUGCACAAGCUAACACAAGCUCUGCUUGAGUCCUAUAUGGGAAGGGAGGUGCUGACUUGAAAAUUGUGAAUCUUGAUUUAAAUAUCCCAAAUAUCCUCUCAAUUACAUUCCUCAAGGAAGCAUGACGAAGAUUGAACAACUCAGUUGCGUUUUCGGGGUCACGACCUUGACCAGCAAAAUCUUGUAGAUGAUAUCGUACACCUCGAAAUGGAGCUAAAAAUUGACGUCGAUUUGGAAAUCCACAAUCCACAAAGAAAUAUUUACCUAAUCAUAAAAUAUAUAUAAAAUUUGUAUGCAAAGCAUGGUAUAAUGAAUGAUAAUAAUAAAACGAAGAGAUAAGAGUGUACCUUGUGGUACCUUGAGUCCAUUCCUCCUUGAUAAAGCAUCAUUUAAUACUUUUGAAUCAUGAGCUGAACCUUCCCAUCCACUGAGCACGUAUAUGAACUCCAAAUCAAAGUUACAUGCUGCUAAUACAUUUUGUGAUAUCUUUCCAUGACGAUUGCAGUAGUUGCUUACAUCACGUCCCUUCACCAUGGCUGGAAUAUGUGUACCAUCAAUAGCUCCAAUGCAAUCCUGAAAUGAAUUAAUAAGAAAUUAUAAGUAAAACAUAGUUUUUGUUGGAAUAAUAACAAUAAUACUUAUAAUAAUAAAUUCCAUUACCUUAAAGGAGGGGUAAAAUCGUGUACUUUCUCUUAUCUUAGCUGGCACUGCAGAUCGAGGUUUAGCCAACAUUUCUGGUGCUAGCGUGUUCAAUGCCUUCAAGACUUUGUUGAAGUUUUUGCUAGUAGCAAAAUGUGAUCGAUCAAAUGUCUUUCGGGUAAGACAAUAUCGAGAAUUUUGACCUACAGUGAGUAAAAAUGUAGCAAGCAUUUCUUCAACACAAAUAAAUCUUGUAUUUUGUAGGAGUGUUUUGUCUCUGAUGAUAGUGCAUAAUUUCCGAAACACAUCUGGAUACAUUCUAUAGACUUGUCGAAAUUCUUCAGGAUCUUCAUGUAAUAUUUUAUGUAUAUAAUCAUACCCACUUGUAGUAAUUGGUCGUCGAAUUAAUGGAUGCUCAAUAUGCUCACUACGCAUGAUAACCAUAAGCUCAUGUAACAUUUGGACCACUGCUUCCAUUGCCAUUAGUAAAUGCUUGAUGGUUUCGUAAAAUUCUUCAUCCAUUUCUUCUCCCUCCAUUUCCUCUUCCUCUACUCUAUUAUCUCCAUGCAUGAUCGAUUGAGACAUCAUAUGUGAACCACCUAAAAUAAAAAUUGGAAGCAAUUACAUUAUGUAAUAUAUAAUGUGGUUGCCUCUGUUUAGUAAAGAAUGCACUUGAAAUUGCAUGGGAAACAACAUUUCUAAAAUGGAAUUAAUAUGUAAGGUAUCAUGCAUGCAAUUUAUGACACGAGAAAACCAUUAACUUUAUAGUCAGAUAUUUUUUCUAAAUAUUAUAAUUGGAAUUGAAAAGCACCAACUGCUCAAAGAUAUCAUAUUUGAUGCAUAUGAAACAAACUUUAAAACUUUAAAUAUGUUCCUAAUAGAAAAUUUGACAAAAUUCCACAAAUAUGAAGCCAUAAACAAACUCCAAAAAUUCAGACAAGUUGUGCUUAAGCAUACUCCAAAAUAACCAAAGUCUAUCGUCUCCCACAUAACCUCAUUCAUUCUGACAACUUAUACAUUAUCCAAUCUUUGCGCUCCUGAGGUGACAUUUUCCAGAACAUAUCUUUUUUUGCUUUAGUAUUAAGCAACUCAACAACUUUGUAACGAACCUGACUAUCUAAGUUUGGGAUUUCCAUGAUAGCAUCCCAACAACCACUCUCUUUUUCCUUUUUUUCCAUAAGGCUAUGGAUUCCCCGAAAAUCUGUGGCAAUUGAAUCAAUGCUAAGAGAAACUCUUUCUAGAACAUCGGCUCGAGUGUUGGUCUCAAAAGAGCUAGUGUUCCCCUCAUACUCAGUUCUAUUUCUUUUUGUCUGACCAUUGCUUUCCAAGGGAAGCUCCACAUUCGUGCCUUGAGUGGGAACAUAUGAAUUAGGUUGUUUGGGUGAUAGAUCUUGGAAUGUUGCAGCUUCAACUUCAUUUGGUAUGAAUGCAUGAUUAUCAUCGUCAUAACUCAAGUCAUCUAUUCCCAGACGUCUACUUUCUUCCACUCCUAAUGUUCUUGCAUCCGUAUCAUCUCCCAAUGCAAUUGAGUUUCUUCCAAUGGCAGUUCCAUUCCCAAUUGCAAUUCUCAGAAGUUCAUAGUCAGCAAAAGUGUCUGUCUGAAAGUUGACAUGGGCCGGGUGGGACUAACAAAGGGAAAAAAAAACAAUUAAUGCAUACACAUACAAAAUAAUAAAUUAUCAUAUAAUAUAUUUUCGAAAAUAGAAGCUCACCUUAAUAUAAUCUUUCCACACUUCAUCACUAGCAGUGAACUUCUUUGUGAUUGGAUCCCACCCAAACCCAGAGCUAUGACGCAUAAGCUCAGAAAAAAUAUUAUAUCGUUGCUUAAACCAUUUCAAUCGGCUUAAGUAUUGUGAAUGAUUCCUUUCACAUCCAAGUUUUGCAUUAAGAGCAGGGAGUAUCUUUUUCUCAACUGUUUGCUUACUUAGCAUUCCAUUACUAUCACGCCAUCCACGAUUGGCGGCAUCAACCAUGAGCUGUAGCAACUCAUUGCUCUCUUCCAAUGUCCACAAUUUAUAACCUCCACUAACUUUGCUCUUUCCUUUGUCAUUUCCUCGUUGUGAUUCUUCCAUUGAUAAUUACUAUAUCACACGUACAACUCCUUAUUAAUUGUGUAUAUUUUCAUAAUAGCUUAUUGGUAAACUGCAUCCAAUGCACCUUUUAAAUUUUUAUUUAUCAAAUCUAAUCACAUAGACAAGUAACAUAUUCUUAUCAAAAUAAAUAAAUAUUACUCAGUCAUCAAUAAUAUUUCAUAAACACUCACAAAUCAACAUAAAUGGUUAGAUUACAAAAGAGUCUAUAUUCCAGCAAUUCUCCUAACCUAAUAUGUGGGAUGUAAAUAUUAUAUGAAAAAAUUAUCCACCUAACGAAUUAUGGGUAAAAAAACAGUACCUAAAGAAUAAAUUAAUGGGUUUAGGGGCAACAAAUUAUAUAAUAAAAUAUUGUAUGCAAACAUAGCAUAUGAGACAAUCAAUAUAAUAAAAUAUUUAUAUGCAAACACAGCUUUUUUUACUAAUAGAAGAAAUAUUCAUCAAUAGAGGGAAAGUAAACGUGUGGAUGAGAAGAGAAGAAAAAUAUUCAAUAUUUUUUUACUAACCUGAAGGAAGUGGAUGACAAUGGGAUACCAAAGUGGAGCCCUAACCAUGAAGAAAAAAGAUCUAUCUGCUUGAUGCUUGAUAUAACAAGGGAAGAAAGAAUUGGAGACGUUUGGAGAUGUUUUGGUUCUAUCUUCUCAACUUCCCAAUAUUUUCAUAAAGUCUGGUGUAAAUUAGCAAGACUUUUGGUAGUAAGAAUUACCUUUAAAAGUAUUGAAAAGUCAUUUAUUUAACAAAGUUUUUAAAAGUCAUUAAUAUUUUGGAUACCUCAAAACUUUUAAAUACUCUUUAAAACUCACAAUUGAAUACAACUAAACUUUUAAAGACUAUUUAAAAGUCACAAUUGAAUACCUAGACUUUUAAAGUCAUUAAAAGUCAUUAAAAGUUAUAAUUGGAUACACCCCCCCUCCUUCUGCUUGCAGCUUGCUUUAGUAACUUAAGAACAAGUGAUCACAGCCCAUUUAGGUUAACCCAGGGUAUGGCAGCUGGAAGUUCUCCCGAAAAUAAGUUUCCAGAAAUGUCCAGGAGUACCAGAGUUUCCUUGCUUAUGUUCCACAUCCAGUUUGGUACUUCGCCAUGUAUUUGGUUUCUUGCCAUAUCCAACCGCUCCAACUUUGUCUGAUUUCUUAGGAAAUAUGGGAACUCUUUUAAAUUGCAUGAACUCAAACCCAGAAUAGUGAACUGUCGAACAGUUGCAUUCAUCAUAUUGGAUUCAGUAACAAAUUCAAAAUUGUUCCAACUCAAUUGGAGUUGGUACAGAUUUUAUUGCUUCUCAAACAUUUGAAAUUCCACUACACCACUCAGGUUAUUUGAAUGUAGAUAAAGGAUCUCAAGAUUGAUGAGAUUGGAAAAUGAGGCUGGAAUUGAACCACUCAAAUGAUUAAAAGAAAAAUCUAGGUAAACUAGUUCGCUAAAGUUACCUAGCUAAGAUGGAAUUGGACUUCCAAAUCUGUUUGUUGAGACGUCUAGAUAAGUGAGCUGUCUAAGAUUACCAAGUGCAGAUGGACCCAAAAGAUUCUGAAAAAUUGCAAUUAGCCACAUCCAACUCUUGCAAUGAAUUAAGCUUUUCAAUUGAUGAAGGUAUUGUUCCCAAAAAACCUAGUAGAAGCAACUCUCAGAGAUAUGAGGGGACUACUUUGAUUAAAUUCAGGAAAAUAUCCAGUGAGAUCUUGAUUGUAUCUCACACCAAGAACUUUAUAGGUAAACAUGUAUUUCUUGUUGGUGAUUCAGGGAUUUUAAGCAUUUUUUGGGUUGUGCGUAUUCUCUCCAAAUCAAUUCAACUUCUUGUCGCGUUUGGUCACUGGAGAAGUUGUAUUCAUAUUUGGCACCUUAGUUGCUUUGUAUUUGUUUUUUUUUUUUAAUAUCUUAUUAAUAAAAUACUAUCGCUCUUUUGUCAAAAAAAUUCAAGAUGUAAUUAAUACUAAGGUUUAAUGAAAUUUUACAUCAUCUGUUAAAUUGGUAAUGUGGCAAGCAAAAAAGCGGUCUCCGCUCUGUAUAGCUUCAACUUGGAUUCAACAUAGAUGAUGCAGCACCACCCAGCCCCUUGCAUUUGGAGCGGUCGUUAUUAAACCAGUGCAAGAUUUUAAUACUCAGUUUAUAUACAGUUCUUACUUGAGCAUUGCCCUUGUAUUUCCAAUGUUCUAAAAUAUUCUUUCUUUGCCCUCUUAAGCUAAAUAACCUUCUAUGAAAGUGAAAGAGCUUUCUGUAUCCAACAUUACAUUGGCGUCCUUAUUGAUGUUAAACUGCAGGAGAAGCAGAACCUUUGUAGCAAAUCUUCUCUCUCUUCAUUCACAAGUCACUAGCAUCUGUUAACUACACAGGACCAAAAGACGAAAGGCAUAAAACAUAACUAAUCUAGAAAUCCCUUCACCAAUAGCCACACACUCAGAAAAUUGAUGGAUAUAUUAAACCCAACAAAUUAAUAUAUCAGUCUCUGAGUUGAUUCAAUUGAACAACUUAUGCUGCAAGGUCAUGCAGUCUUCAGUCUUCUUUCCUCCAAGCAACGUCAACAAGGUAUUGAUAUGUUCAAAUGCUGACCAACUUUUUUUGUAGAGAAUGAAUCUGUCACAUGCCGUCGCGCUUCUAUGCCCAUUCUCUGCGCAAUCUGCUGGUCUUGGAUAAGUUUAGCCAUACCCAAUCACAAAGAAAUCAUGUUUCACCGUUCUUAACUGUCUCUAGAGCCCCCACUGUUGCACAAAAUGACAGGUUUAUAAGCUGCCAUAACCACACAACACAAAUUAUCCAAACCCCUCUGUACGUCGAAGAGAGAUUUCCACAAAUGAAACCAAAGCAAUGACCUUGUGUAUUUUAAAGUCUGCAUUGACCUUCGUCCUCAAGCGAAGAUCUUCUUAUACUGAAUUUUCUUUUUUGAUUUUUAAGGCAGCUGAUAUGCGAUACCAGCGCAUCUUCCAUGUCAAUCAAAGUCCAAGUUCCAAGUUGUUUUCUUGUUUUAAACUUUUCUAAGGAAAUUGGAAGAUAGUCAUUCUUUCCAAGUUGUUUGCCCCACAUGAAGGCAACUACAUAAAAAAAAAAAAAAUCACGUAUCAUUGACAAGCAGCAAUCGUUCACAAAGAAGUCCUUUCUACACAAAUGGCACAAUAUAAAAUUUAAAGGGAUUAAUUAUUGAUAUGGCCCUUGAAAUUCAAUUUGAAUCUCACUUUGCCAUCUAAAACUCAAUUUGUCACACUCUACCCUCUGAAACUCAAUUCUCCGUCUCACUUUGUCCAUAUUCAUUAACUCCAUAAAAAAUAACAUAGCAUUGAGUUGUGAAGAGCAAAAUGUUGAAAUUGAUAACAGUCAAGCCAUGCGUUGAUGCCCUAUUCAUGUUAUAAAAAUCUUUUCUAUUAAUUCAUAUUAGACUAGAUAAAAUAACUUUCAUGUAUUAAGAAAUCAAGGGUCACAAAUUUCAAAUUCCCAAAAAUAAUCAGUGAGAAAUCAUAGCAAAAAACACCAAAAAGAUGCACAAGGCGCAUUGGAUGAAUAUGUUAAAGCCAAGAUAUGGAAUCAGAGUCUCCAAUUCUCUGCAAAUUCUAAUUCAAAGUCUCAAAAGAGAAGUUUUUUCUGCCAUCUUGGGCCAAAACUGGACCCAACAUUUGGAAUAUGAAAGUAAACACCCGAGUUCGAUAUGAUCCAACCCAUUUCAGUUUCGGACUAAAACGGGUCGUCGUCGUCUUUCUCCAGUUCUCUACUUCUCACACAGAAGAGUCUGUAAAAGGAAGAAGAGAAGAGCAAUGAGUGGAGAAGAAUUAGCGGGCACCCCAGCGGCCAAAGCUCCUCCGUCUGCUUUAUUUUGUCGGCGCUGGCUGUAAGUCAUGAAUUUUCAUUUCAAUUUUAAGUCUUCUUCUUCUCCCUUUUUAAAUGGUUGGCUGAUUUUAAAUUCUGGGUAGUUAUUUGCACUGUUGGAAUCAACAAAUGGCGUGAGCUUCAGCGCAAGUCAAUUUUACAACAGCUGCAGCAGCAACAACAGCUCCCUGAAAAUGCCGCAAAUGCCCUUGAGUGAUCUCCAGGUUUAAGGCAAAUUUUCAAAUUUUGUCAUAGAAUUUGGCAAGUAAGCUUGAUCUUUGGCUUCAUUUUGAGUUUGUAAGUGCUGCUCCAGCUGAACUCGUGUUAGACUGAGCUUUGGUAGUUUGGUUGUUAAAUGAUGUGGAAAAUGGUGCAAAAAUUCAUGCCUUUCAAUCUGUUUGAAUAUUCGAAAUACCUAUGUGUGCAAAUUUCUUUGGCUUCAUUUUGAGUUUGAUCAAAUUGCUAAUCUGAGUAUUCCGCGUACAAAUUUGAAUGGUAAUGGGGAUUGUCUAGAUUUCCAUUUUGUAUACAUUUGUGCUUCUUUUGUGACAUUUUCUCUCUAGUUUAUAGUUUGAUUCGGGCAGUAUACAACAUUCUUGAGGAUGACUCAAAUAGCGAGAUUAUUGAUAUUGAGUAAGAAGGUGAGAUUGUUGAUAUUGAGUAAGAAGGUGAGAUUAUUGGUGUGUGUGUGUAUGUGCGCGCACGCAGUGGGGGUUUCUAUUGUGAGUACCGAAGAGCUUUCUCAUCUUAGAAUAUGUAUGUCUAUUGAAGCUGUGGAUUCUAAUCCAAAUCGAGGCGAAUUUGUCAUAUGUGAAUAAUGCUAGGUAAGAGUUCAGGCAGUCUUUAUUUAAGAUGCUUUGGCAUAAGAUGGCUUGGGGUUCCCCAUAGAAAUACAAUAGAAUGCAUGCUUCUAUUUGUUCACUUUGGAUAGUCAUGCAUUGCACUAUUUUAUUUGUUGGUUAUCAGAACAACCUACACUUGAAGAUUGUAAUUAUAUGUUAAUGGACCUUGUAUUUGUGCAGAUGCUACAUUAAACCAUCUUCAAGUAUAUAAACAAGCAUGUUUUUUAAGUUAUUAAUGAAAUUGGAACUUAGUGCCAGUAUGACAAUAGGCGAUAUGUAUGUGAUUUGUAGGGCGGUGAGAGUCAGUAGUUUUCUACUGUUAUGUCAUGGAUUUUGCAGCAUGCUCGCUUUCAACUAUCCUCGGAUGCUUAUGCAUAAUCAAUUGGAGGUUCUAACUUCUAACUUCACAUAAUGUAGCCAAAACCAUGAGGCAAUCACUUCACUGAGUUCUGCAACCCUCACAUAAUGCAGGUGAUAUGUAAUGCUAGUUUUCUUCAAAGUUUUCACUCAGUUUCUAAAUAAACAUGUCAAAAUGAGUUUCAUGAUAACGGAGUUUGUAAAAAUUAGGGGAAUGUCUAUAACUGCUUUGAGAUAGUUCUGUCAAUAGUGAUUGUUUGAGUCUGACAGUCUGUUGGGUACAUAUAGUUCUCUGUUGCGGCUAGAUGGCUGGAUGCAGUUUUUCAUUUGAAAGCCUUGAUGGACUUUUGGAGCUGAAGCUUUCAUGUUUGUUUUUGCCUAGGUACAUUCUUUUGUCGACCUAUAUCAAUAAAGGUCAUUGAUUGAGCAUAAUCAUAUCUGAAAAGAAUAGCAGUACAAAAAUAGGUAUGUGAAAAGAAAAAAGAAAAAUUAGUGUUUAGUAAUUAGCAUGUGCUACAUUACCUAUUUUUGUUUUAGAUAAGGUGGAUGAGUUUUAAAUUUUAUUUUGUUAAAGACCAAUUUGUAAGCCCAUGUGCUAAAAGCAUGAUUAAUAUAAGAGUUACAUUUACAUUUUUGCCAUUUUCUGAUAUUUUGUUUCCACUGUGAUACUAAAAUUAGCGAUCGGCAAGGACUAGAUGAGCAUCGGCAUUGCAACCAUAGCGAUCAACCUAGCGCCGAACCUUCAGGUGGCGCUCUUCAAAGCGACGUUGCAUGGUGAGCGAGAAGCACAUAUAGGAGAUCAUCAUUGUCGCGAGCCGAGUAUUGGCGCCUGUUUCAAAGGAGGUUUUUGUAUUGAAUCUGGGCUCCUUUUGGACUCUUCUCGAUUGCAGUCCUGGUUUUGUUAGCCUUUCACCAUAAUCAGCAUGAAGAUCGGGUGGAACAGCCUAUACUAGUAUGAUUGCUUAGCUCCCCUGUGCUGCUAUUAUGUGUUAAUUGAUUUAGUUUGUCCUUGAAUUGGUGACCUGUGUGUUUCUUCAACAUUUUAAUUUGAUAUUGGUUGAUAGGAAUUUGAUGUGUUUGCAGUCUGUUGUUUGGAUUAUUUGAGGUUUUCGUCAGUGAAAUUUCUGAUCAAGUAUGGAAAUACACAAUUGGGUUUUUAUUGUUUUGUUUAGACAUUUGUAUGAGUGGUUUUAGAUAUUUCCGAUGAAUCUCUAGUUAGUUAUUUAUAGGGAUAUGCGUGUUCCUUCAUUACUAUAUAACCUUGUCGAAAGACCAUAUGAUAUAAAUAGACUAUCAAUAACCAAGCAGAAGCAUGCAGUAAUCACGUGGUUGUGAUAUUAAACAUUAGCCUGUAGAUGUUAUAUCUAGAAUUUAGGUGUCACUAUUGGAUUGCUUCAGAUUAUCUAGCGUGCUUGUGAAGGCCUACACUCCCAGUCAAGCCUGGAGUUGUUAUUUGGGGAAGAAAAUGAAGCUUAUGUAGAACGAAUAGCAGUAAACUAUUAUGCUGUUAUCUGAUUUAGUAUCAGAUGACUCUUUUAAAGCAAACUUGUCUGACACACGUGUGAAUCAAAACCCUGGAUGGAUGUUCAAAUUUCCUUUAUUAUUACAAAAUAUUAGUGCUUAGUUAGUUGUGUGUGACAUAUGUCAAGAUAUUAUAGAGAUGUCAAAAUGAAGUAACAAGAUUGUCCAUGAUGACCUAUAGCUUGUAGACUGAGAAACAUCAGGUCCAAAGAAAUUGGGUGAUCACUGUGUAAAACUUUGUGUUUAACCUGGUAUCUCGAGAGCUGAAAGGAAUUUAGUUUAACUGGAGGAUAAUACAAUCUUCUUAUCUCUGGUUUUUAUUUCUAAUUCCGUGUAGUUGCUUCUGGCGUGCAUUGCCCACCCCACCCCAGUUAACAAAAGAAAAAUAGACAGUUUUGGUCUCUAGAAUUUGAUGAUGAAAAUUUUCCUCUUAGGCAGUCAAUGUUAGCCUUGGAAGUUCGCAUAACUGCUUUUUGAAUGCUGGGUAUUAUAGUAUUUGCCUUUUUAAUACUGAUAUUAUAGUAAUCUUAAUCUGCCAUUCUGUUGUACAUUGUCUACCUGUCUAUUCGUUUGUUUUCAAUUAGUUUUUCGGCAAUCAAGUAUCCAUUUAUACAUGAUUGUCUGCUUUCUUGUUAUUUUUUUGUUUUGGCAGGAGAACCUUUUAUUAAUGGUGAAGCAGUACCAUAUGAUCCCAAGUACCAUGAGGAAUGGAUAAGAAACAAUAGCCGAGCAAACAAGAGAAACAGACGCAAUGACAGACCUCGAAAUUAUGACAGAUCAAGGAACUUUGAUAGGAGGAGGGAAAAUAUGCAGAACCGAGAUUUUCAGAAUAGGGGUCAGCCUCCUAUGCCUAAUCAAGCUGGGCAAAAUCCUGGGCCUAACAUGCCUGGACCUGCCAACAACAUGAGGACUCCCAACAAUAUGGGGCCCCCGCCCCCCAACGCGGGUCCAAUGCCUCCCCACAACAACAUGGGUCCAAACUACAGUAAUGUGCAGCAGCCAAACAACUGGAGUGGUGGGCAGCCCAACAACAAUAGCAAUCAGAUACCUCAUAAUUAUAAUCAGAUGCCGCCACCACCACCUAACUACAAUCAGAUGCCCCCUAACAACAUGGGAGGUGUACCGCCAAACAACAUGAGAGGGGUGCCACCAAAUAACAUGGGAGGAGUGUCCCUACCGCCUAAUGCAGGAUGGGGGGGUCCUGGGCAAUUCCAAGAUAACUAAAUGCCAGGCAGGGAUGAUGGAGGCAUCCCCGGUGCAAACUGUUACUGAGCUUGAGGCUACGUCACGAUGAGUCUUGUAGGCAUGCUGUAGAUAAGCAAGGAGGCUGCUCUAGAUGUGCUGUAGGUUUUUUAUGUCACCGUUCUGGAAUGAUAUUUUGUUUGGCUUAUUGCUGGGUGCGAACCUGGUUGCCUUUUUAUCUGAAUAUGAUUACACUUUCAGGGUCGUCUCUGAUUGGAUUAAUCGUAUCUUUGCUUUGCUACUUGGUACUAGUUAUGUCAUGUCAUGUCAUGUAGUGCACAUAUUUGCAGAAAGCAGAAGACUGUUUAAUGAAACCACCAUGAUAGAGCAAUGCUAUCUUAUUUUUCAUCGAUUCCUAAUCAAUUGAACAAUCUAAACAAAACCCAAAAAGCAAUUAUGUGUAUAAUUUUUUCUCUCGGUGCUUGUGCUUGGCUUAGUAACUUAAAUACAGGAACAAUGGUGAAUACAACCCAAUUCACUUCAUCAUUAGUUCAUUCAUCCCAUUCAACAAUACAAACAAAACCCACAAAGCAAUUAUACAAGGAAAUUAUUCCGUCUGAGUCUGAACGCUUCUGCUUGCAGCUUGCUUUAGUAACUUAAAGACAAGAACGAGUGAUCAGAACCCAUUUCAGUUCAUCACCAACUCAUCAAAUUUCACAUCCCAAUCAAACCCAAAUUAAGAGCGAUUAUUUAGAAGCAAGAUUAGUGGCAGACAUGCCCAUAUAUCUCAGGCCAUGUCACUCUCAAGCAAGGUUAGUGAAAAAUAUUCAUCCGAUGGGCAUCUUUUUAGUGUUUUUUGCUGUGAUUUCUCACUGAUUAUUUUUGGGAAGCUCUCCAAGUUGAAAUUUGUGACCCUUGAUUUCAACAAUUUACAAGGUUCUUUGCCCUCAUCUUUGAUGAAUUUCACAAACCUUGUAGAACUACACUUGGGAUCCAAUCCAACAACUUGGAAGGUGAUAUCUGCAUGCUUGAUUUUUCCAGACUUAGUCAAUAACUUUACUGGUACGUUUCCAAUAAGCAUUUACUCAUGUAGGUCCCUGAAAGCAAUUCAAUUGACUUCAAGUCAUCUAGGGGGGCAAAUACAACCUCAGAUUCUUUCAUUGAAAUACUUGUCCUCCCUCUCAAUUGGUGGCAAUAGAUUAACCAAUGUCAGAGGAGCAAUGAAAAUACUAAUGCGUUGCUUUCAGAAUCCUUUAUAACUGCAUCGCUUUCAAGCUACCUAUAAGAAAAUCAAAAAAUUAGAUGCAGCUUUCUCAGAACUGCCUUUUAGCUUGCGGCUUGCUCGAAAUUACAGAAUUGCUAUCUUCCACUACAAAUGCAACAUCCGCAUGCCAACAUCCAAACACCCACCUCCCAGAAUCAUUCUUCACAACUCAACACAAUUCACUAGUUCCUGGUUGGGGCUCAUUUGAUUGCUAUCAAUAUAUUCAGCAAGUAGUUGUUAACUUGUGCCCACUCAGAGGGUUGAACAUUAUUGCUCUACCAAGAUAUUAUAGUAGUUGCCUUCUUGUGGGGCAAACAACUUGGAAAGAAUGACUAUCCACCAAUUUUGAAUUUUCUUAGAAGAAUCAUCAACAAGAAAACAACUUUGAACAUGAAUAGGACGUCAAUGUAUAAUGUUGGAUCAGGCUUGACUGACACUGUCACUCUCAGGCCAUAUCUAUCAGGCAAGAAAAAUCGCACCAUGUAUCUUCCAAAUUCCACGAAAAAUUGUCAUCAUAUUGAAAGAAAACACCAAUGAGGGAAAACACGUCAAACAACGUUUGCAUCCACAUCUGAAAACGCAUUAACUACAUCCAUGAGAUUUUUUAUUACUGUUAAAAAAAUCAUGACACAUCCUAUACAGCUUAUAACUCGACCAGCAUGGAAAUCUCUCUUCAACGUAUAGAAGGGGUUUCAAGAAUUUGUAUUGUAUGGUUAUGGUUGUUUGCUAAUUUCCUACUUUGAGUACUUGGCCUUGUGGACUUUAAAUUAAGUAGGUCAAGUCCACUCCUAGUGGCAUUAGUGGGAAUAUCUUUUAGGGUAAACUGCCGAAAUGCCUCCUGAACUUGUACUUAAUUAUCAAUUUACCUUAUGACCUUUUUUUUAAGCGAAUUAAAGGCUCAAAUUAAAAUUUAUUAUCAAUUCUUCCCCUAUCGUCUAAAUAAAUAACGUUUCAUCCAAUAAUCCGUCAAAUCAUUAAAAAAAAAAAUAUUAAUGAUGUCGGGAAUUCUAUAGGAUUUGUCUCGGGUUUCGAGGAAUUUGGGACGGGUCCUGUCAUAACCAGUCGACAACUCUUGCGCUUAUCUCUCAUAGCUCUACCAUAUCCAUGGUAUGAAUUUUCUUUUAAAACGUCUUCUUAUUUCAAUUCUUGUAAUCGUUUGGGUUGGAUUGAGAAAUCUCCAAUACCUCUUCCUUUACUCUGUAAUUCGAAUUUGAGGAUAGUUGGUGGAUUAAUUAAAGAAUCUUUUGUUAUUUAGUUUAAAAUCCAAAGUAAACAUAAAUUGCAGAAGAAUAUAUAUAUAGAUGAGAUUCACUUGAUUAUCUGAGGAACGAAUCAUGGAUUAUUAUAAUACAUAAAAUCAGACUCCCGCUCUUUUUACCCUUCAAACAAUCCAGGAAGAUUAGCAUUCGAGCCCGAAAGGGUAUGGGGACCCGAAAGGAAUAGUAAAAGAAAAGGAUACCAAGUUUAGUUGGGCCCGAAACUGCACCAGUGGGCCUGAACUGACUAUUGAUCUAGUUAAAAACAAGAAAGUAUUGAAGUAGGUUAAUAAAACCCAGGUAGGGUUUUUUGUUGACCACGAACUUAAUCUUGCUCUGUUGCCCGUUCAGGUGCUGCUCACACUUGUCAAGGUGAUAUUCACGAAGAAAAGAAUAUUGAAGUCCUCUUAAUUGAGACAUAUAAAAGAAUCUAUCCAGGCCAGUACCCCCAUGGAGCACAAUGGCUUGAUGAGAAGUCUAGAAAUGAGGUGCAAACUCCAUCAGCAUCAGUCAUUCAUAUCCACACCAGAUCUAUUGAGCUGGUUAUAUCCUCAAUAGUGGCACGCCUGCGCAACAAAAGGGAUCAACACUACGAAGAAGUUGACAAACAGGGCCUCGAUCAGGCCUGACUUCUCUUAGCAAGCUGAUUCAACUUUCAGUUUUGUCCAAAAAUUAAAGAAGUCCCUUUUGCAAGCGAAGAUACACCAUUUGAUCGGGGCAUUGGUGUUGAUAUAAUAAUUCCUCUUUGUUCAUCAGAGCAAAGUUGGCCCUCGUGGUUGCUAAAAGGAACGAAGGAUGGGAAAAAGCGCCAACAAUUUUCAUUUCCUUUCUGUCGAUAUACUGUUUUGAGAGGAAAAAGAAAAUAGACUUGGAAAAUUUCAGCUUUUGCUAUGCUUCGUACCUUGAAUCCUAGCUAUUUUUUGAUCCAACUCCGUUUGUAUUCCUUUGCUUUUGUUCUGUUUUGCUCCUUCCCGUUUGGAUUGUUCAAUGGCAUCAGAUUUCGACCCAAAAAAAAGAAAGAGAUGUGCUUCGAGGUCCUAAUGCAAGAAGCCAUAACCGCCCCUCUUGCACUCAAACCCUCGUCGUCGGCCUCCAUGUGGAGUUCUCAUGAUUUGAACAAACGACUCCGUUUUGGACCUCUCCGCCACCACACUCAUGCUCCUCCUCGAGGACGUCUAGCGAUUAGCGCAGCAGAGUGAGAUGAAGACCCAGCAGGCGAUAAAUGACUUUUGGAUGGCCCUAGGCAAUGAACUAAAUAAGGCCCCUUCCCUUGGUAUACAAUUGCGAAAAAAAACAAAUAAAAUGAUUUUAUGUAGCGCGUAGAGCAUGUGAAUAAUGAUUUUAAGAUAAAUAAUUAUAGAGCAUAAUCCUACAUGGUCAAUUCUAAAGCUGAGUCUUACAUGGUCAAUUCUAAAGCUGAGUCUAAGUCUCUUAACAGCAAAGUCAUUGUCUGUGUAUAAUCUGGAAAAUUAAAAAAUAGUUUGAUGGAUAGGAACAAAUAUAUAUAAAUCUGAUUACUUUUUCAAUUUCUCAUGUUCCUCCCCUCUUGGUCACCAUCAAUCUCAAAGACAAUUUGUGAGCUUUUUAGUGUGAGAUUGAUUCUUAGGGUUAAAAUAUGAUAAGAUAAAAAAAAAGGAUGAGAGAAAUUGAAAAUAAUGGAUGGAUUGAAGAGAGAUGGGGAAAAAUAUGGUGGUGGAUUAUUAAGAGAUGAGUGGAUCAAAUAGAAUUCUUCCAUGGAGAAACUAACUAGGAGAGGAAUCGCCUUCCUCAAGCACAUGUUGUUUCUGUCUCUGCGUGGGAAACGAAGAAACAUUCUGGGAAGAGGAAACAAAGAAACCUAAUUUAAUCGCGUGUUGUUUCUGUUUUUUUAAUAUAUAAAAUUGGACAAUAGUGUAUAUUUAUUUUUACCAUAAAAUUAUCAACACGAAAACAUCUUAGAAGCUCAUCGUAGCCCUCUUUAGACCUAAUAUGGUCUACAAUAGUUGAUAGUAACAGCUAGAAGGUCUGGUCCUCUCAUCGUGGCCCUCUUUAGACCUAAUGUGGUUUUCAAUUUUGGCUACAUUAGUUGAAGUCUCUGUUCGACGUAUAGAAGGGGUUUGAAGAAUUUGUAUUGUAUGGUUAUGGUUGCUUGCCAAUUUCUCACGUUGAGUACUUUGAAGGCGUUGUGGACUUAAAGUAAGUCAAGUCCUCUCCUGGUGGCAUUAGUGGGAAUAUCUCUUAAUACCCAAUGAGGCCUUCUCUCUGGUUUCAUUAGUGGGAAUAUCUCUUGGACGAAUUGAGGGGUUUCAAUAUCAAUAAUUUGCAUUGUGUGGUUGUUGUUUGCCGAUCGACUUCUCAAUUUGCAGUGAUGUAUGCAUCCUUUUCAAGCAUCGUUGCUCUUAUAUAUAUAUAAGUGAUUUCAUUUAGGUAUCCAUCAAAUGAGCUUACUUGAAUCCGAUAUCAUUUGACUACUUAAUUAAAUUAUUGAAAUUUAAGUACUUUCUUGAAGCACAGUGUUCAUUGAUUUUGUUGAUCUCAAUUAGAUGCCUAUUGAUUUUCAAUAUGCAUGAAUUUUUGGAAAGAUGAUCUAUGAAUGAAGUUGUGAAAAAUAGAUGUUUUUGAUUGUUCAAAAAUUUUUUGUAAGGGACUCUAAGGGGUCUCCCUCAAAUAAAUUAUUUUGAGGAAUCCCUCAAUAGAAGGGUACUGAUACAUACUUAUAUAUAUAGACCAGCUUGUAACCUAAUGGCUCAUGGCUUCGUUCUCUUCCUCUUAUUCUCUUGCAUUAUACCUACAAAUAUUCAUGCCUGCAAACAAACUGAACAGCGCUCCCUUCUGUCCUUUGCCUCCAUUCUAUCUUCUCCUCCUUUAAAUUGGACAUACACUAUGAAGCUGUUGUUGCUGACGUUGAAACUAGUUAAGUUGCUUGCUUGUUGGAAGAAUGAAGAUGGAAUUGCACCAAAGAAGUGAGUAAGUCUGGAAAAAUCAACAAUAGUUUGAGUUUCAAUGUCAGCAACAAUAGCUUCACAGGGUAUGUCCCAUCCUCUAUUUGUCUCCAACAUUCUUCAACCUUCCUUAGGCUAUUGGAUUUUUCUUCCAAUCUAUUUAAUGACGACCUUGCUCCUGGGUUAUGGAAGUGUUCUGAACUGCAGGUUUUUCGCACCAAUCACAAUAACCUCUCAGGAUUACUUCCAAAAGAUAUCUAUAAUGCUACCAAACUUUAAGAAAUUGCAUUACCCUCUCAAUUCACUACAUGGAGCCAUUAGUGAUACAAUUGUCAAUCUCACCAACCUUGCCAUCCUUGACCUCUCCUUUAAUCAUUUUGGCGGCAAGCUUACUCCCAAUUUGGGGAAGCUCUCCAAGUUGAAAUUUGUGACCCUUGAUUUCAACAAUUUAGAAGGUUCUUUGCCCCAGUCUUUGAUGAAUUGCACAAACCUUGUAGAAUUGCGUUUGGGAUCCAACAACUUGGAAGGAGAUAUCUCUAUGCUUGAUUUUUCCAGACUUACUCAACUUACUAAACUUGACCUAAGGAUGGAUAACUUCACUGGUAUGAUUCCAGUAAGCCUUUAUGCAUGUCGGUCCUUAAAAGCCAUUCGAUUGUCUAGAAAUCAUCUAGAGGGAAAAAUAGAAGCCGAGAUUCUUUCAUUGAAAUCCUUGUCCUUCCUCUCGAUUGCUGUAACAUCUCACAUCGACCAAUGGAGAGGGAGUGAUGUGCUUUAUAUGUACAUGUCCACCUCUAUCUAGUUCAAAGCCUUUUGGGAGCUCACUAACUUCGGAGUCAUGGGAACUCCGAAGGUAACCGAGUUUGGGUUAGAGCAAUCCCAGGAUAAGUGACCUACUGGGCAGUGCUCGUGAGUUCCCAGAAACAAAACCGUGAGGGCAUGGGGGGGCCUAAGGCAAACAAUAUUGUGUUACGGCGGAGUCGAUCCAAGGUGUGACAGAAUGGUAUCAGAGCCACUCUGCCGUGUGGUGUGAGUGUGCUGACGAGGAUGUCGGGCUCCUAAGAAGGGUGGAUUGUAACAUCCCACAUUGACCAACGGAGAGGGGGUAAUGUGCCUUAUAUGUACAUGCCCACCUCCAUCUAGCACGAGGCCUUUUGGGAGCUCACUGGCUUUGGAGUUUGGAAACUCCGAAGUUAAGCAUGUUGGGGCUAGAGCAAUCCCAGGAUGGGUGACCCAUUGGGAAGUUGCUCAUGAGUUCCCAAAAAUAAAACUGUGAGGGCAAGGGGCCCAAAGUGGACAGUAUCGUGCUACUGCGAAGUCGAUCUGGGAUGUCAUAUAAUGGUAUCAGAGCCACUUUGCCAUGUGAUGCGAGUGUGCCGAUGAGGACGUUGGUGUCCCAGCAAGGUACCUCUUUUGUACCAAGCCAUGUCCUUAAGUUUGUCCCAUGCCUUGGGCAAGUCAGGCAGUGCCACAAUGUUCAUAUUUAUAUGGAAAUUUGAAACUCAUUCGUUGAGGAGUACAUGUGUUUCUUGUAUUGUAAGUGCCACUACUACAAAAAAGCAAAAAGACGACGGUAAAUCACCGUCGUGUAUUUGGUUUUUCAAUGGUCGUGGAAUCCACCGUCAUCUUUUCCCUCAUAAACCACGACGCUAAAUAACCGUCGUUGUUAAACAAUACAACGUCAUCAAAAAAUACAAAACGACGUCUUUGUACUGCAAAAAGAUCUAAAAAAAGCAAUCGAUGAUGAUAAUAGACGACCAAUUCUCUAAAAAGACCGUCGUUAAAAAGGGAAAAUAUGACACAUAUUAAGAGAACAAGGCCGCAAGAUAGACAUACAACGACGACAAUAAAAAUACGCCGACGUUAAAUAUAAUUUUCACGACAAUAAAAAAUAUGACGUCUUUAAAUACAUUAGAAGACGACGUUAUUGAUACCUACUACGUCGCACAUAUAAACACAACCGUCGUACAAUUAAUUUUCCACUUCGAUUUUUUGAUAAAAGAUGACGUGGAAAUAGUUGUCAGUGUCAUUAUUUACGACGUAUGUGUUUCUAUAGUAGACGUUGAAAAACUAAACAACGUCAGUUACAAAUAUAUGAGAGUCGUAUUAAAAAAUUUAUACGUCCUAUUUUCAGAAACAAACAACGACCAUAAAUAUUAGACGUUGUUAAAUACAACAACGUCGGAAAACAAUAAAAACAGACGUGUUUAGUCUGCUAAAGUUCUACAACGUCUCUUAUUUACAAAAAACCGUCGUGAAAUAAAUUUUCCACUUCGAUUUUAUCUAAAAAAGAUGACGUGGAAAUAGUUGUCAGUGUCAUUAUUUACGACGUAUACAUUUAUAUAGUCGACGUUGUAUUUAUAUGUAUUCAUUACUCACGACGCACUUAAUAAUAUAGACGACGUUGAAGGUCUAAACAACGUCGGUUCCAAAUAAAUGAGAGCCGUAUUACAGAACAUAUAGACGGCGUAGAUUAUGAUGGGAGCCGUAUUACAAAUAACGUCGUUUAAUUGUUAUUAGACGGCGGUUAUAAUGAAUUUCCGUCGGAAUUAAUUUCGUUCCUCUUCGUUUAUAAAAGAACUUGCGACGUGGAAAAUGUAUGAUGACGUCGUAUUUUUUAACGUUCAGAUUACAUAUCUCGUUUUUUAGACGUCGGUAUUAUGGGAUUGGAGUCGUGUUAUUUUGAAUUACAUGGCGGUUCUUUAUCCUUCACCGACGUGAUAUCCUGAAUAAUUGCUUCACAAUAGCGUCGUGGUUCUUCAUUGUUACGUUGCUUUAAGACGUCGGUAAAUAUGCUGAAUAACUGAUUCACAAUAACGUCGUGUUUUAUUUGAACGUAGAAAGUGAAGAAAUCACAUUACAAUAUAUUACAAAAUUAAUGUCAUACACUGCCAAUUACAUAAGCAUCAUUCAAUCCAUAUAUCUUCACACCCAUCUCGAAUAUUUUGACCGCCUAACUCACCUACCAGUUCAUCAAAUGUGUCAACAUUUGGCAUCCCUCUAGUAAAUGGCUCACACUCAAUUAUCACAUCACCUAAUACUUCAUCACCAAUAACAUCAUUAUAUUCUCUACUAGGCAUUGAUAACACUACCGACCAACCACGAUGCAUCGGGUCGUCAACAAAAAAUAUUUGUUUGACUUGAGAAGCCAAAACAAAUUGGUCAUUCCUAUGUCCAAUUUUACUCAAAUCUACAAGGGUAAAUCCAAGUUCGUCGACUACAAGACCAGAACUAUCUAUCCAAUCACACCUAAAGACUGGGAUUGUAAACUUUUGGUAGUCAAGGUCCCAAAUUUCUUGAAUGACACCAUAGAAACCCAUAUUUGAGAGAAUUGGGUUUUUAUCCUUGGCACUAGCAACUUGCAUGGUAUGUGCAAGUAAAUAAACUCCACUAUUUUGAGUUGUCCGCACAUCAUCUUGUGCCUUGAUAUUGAAUUUAAUACCUUUAAUAAGAUAGCUCCUAUAUAAUGGCACUGACAUGUUUGGACCAGCUGCUAGCCACCUUAAAUUUUCUGAUACGCCAUGAUUGUCUUCCUCAACUUCACUUUGAACCUGCAAAUUAAUCAUAUCUUAAUUCAUCCUAACAUAUAAAUAAGAAGAAAAUUAAAAGAGAAAUACGUUAUUCAACAACAUAUACCUUGAAGCGUAGCCAUUGAAUGAAAGUGCUAUUGUGCUUAUCCUGCAGCCACUUUGUUCUCUUUCUAAAUUUUGGAUAAGCAGUCUUGAUGUGGAUCAUAUGUUGCCUACAUGACACGAAAAAUUCAAGCAUUACGGUCCCAAAUAUAUAAGAUAAACAUAAGAAAUAAUUUUAAAUGGAAACUUAAAGAAUAAAACUCAUACGUACUCGAUAUAAGGUAGGACUUCCUCCGUAUUCUCCAAGACAUAUAGAUGUGCUUGAUUCAACAGGUCCUGAUCAACUACGCUCACUGUGCAACCUGAUAAUGGCUUUGAAACUCCCAUCUUUUGGCUUGAAGGCACUCCAACUGUACUAACAUCAGAUAAAUGCUGAGUACAAAACUCUACCGCUUCUUCAGCUAUAUACCGCUCAGCAAUGCAACCUUCGGGACGAGUACGAUUCUGAACAUACCCCUUCAGCACUUUCAUAUAUCUUUCAAACGGAUACAUCCACCUAAAAUAUACUGGCCCACAUAGACGAACUUCUCUGACAAGAUGUACUACUAGAUGAACCAUGAUAUCAAAGAAUGAAGGGGGAAAGUACUUCUCAAGCAAACACAGAGUAACUACUACAUCUUCUUCCAACUUAUCUAGCUUGGAAACAUCAACAGUCUUUGCACAUAUAGCAUUGAAGAAGAAGCACAAACGAGUUAUUGCAUACCUUGCAGGCUUCUCCAAAACAGAACGAAUUGCCACAGGGAGCAAUUGUUGCAUUAAGGUAUGACAAUCAUGUGAUUUAAGGCCAAGAAGUCUUGAAUCUUGUACAUAUACAAGAUUUUUAAUAUUUGAAGAAUAACCUUCAGGGACCUUCAUACCAUAGAAAGAAUUGCAAACCUCUCUCUUCUCUGCUCUUGACAAAUUCCAAGGCCCAGGAGGCAAACGAGUACGUCUUUCUCCAUACUCGGGUUGCAAAUCAGUUUUGACCCCCAUGUUCAAUAAAUCUAAUCGAGCAGCAAUCCCAUCUUUAUUUUUUCCAGGGAUCUCCAGCAAUGUACCAAUGAUACUAUCGCAAACAUUCUUCUCAAUGUGCAUAACAUCUAGGGCAUGCCUCACAGGAAGGUAUUUCCAAUACUCGAGAUCAAAGAAUAUUGAUUUCUUCUUCCAACAAACUCUGUCACCAUUUUCAACCAUAUGCAGCACUUCUUCUCCGGUUAAUGGCUCUGGAGGUAUGCCAUAUUCAGGUUUCCCAUUAAAAGCUGCACGUUGCCUCCUAUAUGGAUGAUUGAUUGGUAACCAUUUUCUAUGCCCAAUGUAACAAAUUUUGUGGCCAUUUUUCAACCUGUGACUAGGUGUAUCAUCGCCGCAUAUUGGACAAGCUUUAUAUCCUUUAACAACACAACCAGAUAAGUUUCCAUAGGCGGGGAAAUCAUUAAUUGUCCACAUUAAUGCAGCUCUGAGUGUAAAGUAUUCUCCAUUAUGUGCAUCAUACACUCCUCUAAUCCCAACCCACAAGGAUUUUAAAUCAUCAAUCAAAGGCUCCAAGUAGACGUCUAUAUCAUUUCCGGGUUGUUUAGGACCGGAAAUCAAUAAGGUUAACAUCAUGAACUUUCGUUUCAUGCACAGCCAUGGAGGGAGAUUAUAUGUAACUAAGAUAACCGGCCAACAACUAUAUCUGCUACUUAGAGAACUGUGGGGAUUGAAUCCAUCAGAUGAAAGAGCCAAUCUCAAGUUUCUCGGCUCAUUACCAAACUCAGGCCAUUUAUCAUCAAGAAGUUUCCAAGACGGGGAAUCCGCCGGAUGAGACAUCUGACCGUCAAUUGAUUUUCUAGCAACAUGCCACCAAGUCAAACUCUUAGCUGUCUCAUGUGAUUGAAACAUCCUUUUAAACCUUGGAAUUGGGGGAAAAUACCACACCACCUUCGCUGGCACACCCUCUUUCAAGAUUGCAUCUUUGCCUUCCUUCCACCUUGAGAUACCACAAGUAGGACAAUUAGUUGAAUCCUCAUACUCCUUCCUAUACAAGAUGCAAUCAUUGGGGCAUGCGUGCAUUUUCUCAUAACUCAGCCCCAAUGCACACAAAGUCUUUUUAGCCUCAUACAUGGAGGUUGGUAUUGUAUUUCCUUCUGGAAGCAAAUCGCCUUGAAGUAUCAAUAAUUCUGUAAAACAGACAUCACUCAUCCCAUGUUUUGCCUUCAAAUUAUACAACUUCACUAAUGCCGAUAACUUCGUGUACUUUCUACAACCAGGGUACACUGGUUGAUCUCCAUCCCCAAUCACAUUGGCAAACUCAUACGGAUCCGAACCAAAAUCACCAAAAUCAUUAUCAUCCAUAUCAAUUUCUUCAGACACAAAACUGUACCUACUAUGGCCAUCAUCUUCUUCAACAUUUCUGCUAGCAUUAGUAGUUGCUUCCCAAGGUUCUCCGUGAAAUGUCCAAUUCUUAUAGCUUUGGUCAAUUCCAUUAAAGUAUAAGUGAUCCCUUAUAAUUCCAACCCCAAACAACUUCAAAUUAACACAUUUAACACAUGGACAACGGAUAUGUGUUGUAGUUAGAAGAUUUUCUACAGCAAAGUUCAAAAAUGCUUCCACCCCAAACUCAUAUGCCUUCGAUCUUCUAUCCGAGUGCAUCCAUGACUUAUCCAUCUCCGACACUAUAACCUAUUAUCUAUAAUAAAGUGAAAAUACAGGCAAUGACCAUCACUAUAGCAGAUUAUACAAUGAUCUAAUCGCAAGUAAUAAAUAACAGAGACGACGGGUUUUAAUCAAAAACAGACGUAUUUGGCAUAUAUAGACGACGGAUUUUCAACAGACGUCGUCUAUUAUACGUAAUACAAACGACGGUUUAUGAAAAAACCGUCGUGUAUAAGUAAUACAACGACGGUAGUUUAAAAACACCGUCGUGUAAUCGUCGUCGUACGCCUUAAAAUUCGUCGUGUCUCAGUUUAUUUUCAAGAACACAAAACCCAUUAAGAACACAACAUAUAUAUGAAACCAAGCAAGAAACCAACAUAUACAUGAAACCAAGCAUGAAAACAAUAAAUCCAUUCCCAAUUCAACAUAACAUAGGGUGAUUAAAAGAUACGACAAAAUUAAAUCCAUUCCCAAUUCAACAUAACAGAUAAUGUAAUCCAUGAACCCAUUAAACAGAAAAUCCAUGAACCCAUACCUAUAAGCAUUGGUGCACUUUGCACCUUCUCCAGAGCGGAAAAUGACAAGAUCAAAUAAAGGUGUCCUUUUGCUGAAAAUCAUUUGGAAGUUGGUGAUGUGUCUUUUUGUGUUGAUUUCCAGCAAAAGUACACCUUUAUUUGAUCUUGUCAUGAACCCAUUAAACAGAAAAUCCAUGAACCCAUACCUAUAAGCACAUUAUUAACAGAUCGCAAAGCAUAUACCUAAAACCCUUUAACAAAACAACCUAAUAUCAUUCAAUGAAUUUACAAGGGGAAGAUAGGGUUUGUACUUACAGGUUGGACGAGCUCACAGAUUCGACGAGCCUGGAGAGUGCAACUUUUAAUUAGAGCAGAAGUGAGAGAGCGAAAUGUUAUGUCGCGUGAAAUCUGAAAUUUUAGGUUUCAGGGAUCAAAGUAUAAGACUAAGAGCCAAAUCUAAAAAAAUUUAGGUCGCGCGAAAAUUUUUAGAGCGCGCGCGUUAUAAAACGUCGAAAGAAAAACCAAGGCGAAAGUUCUACAAGUACCGACGUAAAUUUAAUAUUCCACGACGGAAACUUCAUUUUUCGGAUUAAGAACGUAAGGCCGUUCAUUUUUCGGAUUAAUUUUAAAUUUAUUUUGAAUUUUUUAUAUAACGACGACUGAAAAACCACGUCGGUGUUAAGAAAUUAAAGACGUUGUAAAUUAUAUAAACCGACUUACAUAUUAAAAUAACGUCGUUUAAAGCGUAAACCAUGUCGUAUGUUUUACUGUACGACGUAAAAUAUGUAUUCCACGACCCAACCACCGUCGUUAAAAAUUAAUACACUAAACCCAUAAAAUUAAAUUAUACAAUUUAAAAAAUUAAGUUUAUAAAAGGUUUUAUGGUUUUAAAGCCUAACAUAUAACAUAGACUACCCAAAAAUUAUACUUUAAAAAUAAACCCCAAUAAAUAACAACACUAAUCUCUAAACCCUAGACUCUAAACCCUAAACCAUUAAACUAGAAGUGAUUUUAUGACUCAUCAAAACAAUUUUGUUUUGGAUGGUCAUUUUAAAUUUUUGUUAUUCAAAAUGAAUUUUUUCAAGGUUUAUGUGGAAGAAAAUAUAUCAAUGACUUCAUAGGAGUUGACUUUUCAAUUUUCUGAUUUAUUUUAUAUUUAUUUUGAAUAUUUUGAUAUAAAAAUAAUAAAAUAUUCUUACCAUACAACAAACCACGUCGGUGUUAAAUAAAUUGUAGACGUUGUAAAUUGUAAUAGACUACUAAGUCGUUAAAAUGACGUCGUUAAAAUGAGAAACCACGUCGGUGUUAAGAAAUUAAAAACGUUGUAAAUUAUAUAAACCGACUUACAUAUUAAAAUGACGUCGUUUAAAGCGUAAACCAUGUCGUAUGUUUUACUGUACGACGUAAAAUAUGUAUUCCACGACCCAACCACCGUCGUUAAAAAUUAAUACCCUAAACCCAUAAAAUUAAAUUAUACAAUUUAAAAAAUUAAGUUUAUAAAAGGUUUUAUGGUUUUAAAGCCUAACAUAUACCCUAGACUACCCAAAAAUUAUACUUUAAAAAUAAACCCCAAUAAAUAACAACCCUAAUCUCUAAACCCUAGACUCUAAACCCUAAACCAUAAAACUAGAAGUGAUUUUAUGACUCAUCAAAACAAUUUUGUUUUGGAUGGUCAUUUUAAAUUUUUGUUAUUCAAAAUGAAUUUUUUCAAGGUUUAUGUGGAAGAAAAUAUAUCAAUGACUCUCAUAGAGAGUUAGACUUUUCAUUUCUCUGAUUUAUUUUAAAUUUAUUUUGAAUAUAUUGAUGUAAAAUAAUAAAAUAUUCUUACCCAUACAACAAACCACGUCGGUGUUAAAUAAAUUGUAGACGUUGUAAAUUGUAAUAGACUACUAAGUCGUUAAAAUGACGUCGUUAAAAUGAGAAACCACGUCGGUGUUAAGAAAUUAAAAACGUUGUAAAUUAUAUAAACCGACUUACAUAUUAAAAUGACGUCGUUUAAAGCGUAAACCAUGUCGUAUGUUUUACUGUACAACGUAAAAUAUGUAUUCCACGACCCAACCACCGUCGUUAAAAAUUAAUACACUAAACCCAUAAAAUUAAAUUAUACAAUUUAAAAAAUUAAGUUUAUAAAAGGUUUUAUGGUUUUAAAGCCUAACAUAUACCCUAGACUACCCAAAAAUUAUACUUUAAAAAUAAACCCCAAUAAAUAACAACCCUAAUCUCUAAACCCUAGACUCUAAACCCUAAACCAUAAAACUAGAAGUGAUUUUAUGACUCAUCAAAACAAUUUUGUUUUGGAUGGUCAUUUUAAAUUUUUGUUAUUCAAAAUGAAUUUUUUCAAGGUUUAUGUGGAAGAAAAUAUAUCAAUGACUUCAUAGGAGUUGACUUUUCAAUUUUCUGAUUUAUUUUAUAUUUAUUUUGAAUAUUUUGAUAUAAAAAUAAUAAAAUAUUCUUACCAUACAACAAACCACGUCGGUGUUAAAUAAAUUGUAGACGUUGUAAAUUGUAAUAGACUACUAAGUCGUUAAAAUGACGUCGUUAAAAUGAGAAACCACGUCGGUGUUAAGAAAUUAAAAACGUUGUAAAUUAUAUAAACCGACUUACAUAUUAAAAUGACGUCGUUUAAAGCGUAAACCAUGUCGUAUGUUUUACUGUACGACGUAGAAUAUGUAUUCCACGACCCAACCACCGUCGUUAAAAAUUAAUACACUAAACCCAUAAAAUUAAAUUAUACAAUUUAAAAAAUUAAGUUUAUAAAAGGUUUUAUGGUUUUAAAGCCUAACAUAUACCCUAGACUACCCAAAAAUUAUACUUUAAAAAUAAACCCCAAUAAAUAACAACCCUAAUCUCUAAACCCUAGACUCUAAACCCUAAACCAUAAAACUAGAAGUGAUUUUAUGACUCAUCAAAACAAUUUUUGUUUUGGAUGGUCAUUUUAAAUUUUUGUNNNNNNNNNNNNNNNNNNNNNNNNNNNNNNNNNNNNNNNNNNNNNNNNNNNNNNNNNNNNNNNNNNNNNNNNNNNNNNNNNNNNNNNNNNNNNNNNNNNNNNNNNNNNNNNNNNNNNNNNNNNNNNNNNNNNNNNNNNNNNNNNNNNNNNNNNNNNNNNNNNNNNNNNNNNNNNNNNNNNNNNNNNNNNNNNNNNNNNNNGUCGUUAAAAUGACGUCGUUAAAAUGAGAAACCAUGGCGGCUAUUUAACUAUACGACGUAAAUAUAUAUAUCAACGACUUAACCGCUGUCGUUACAUAAACGUCGUCGAUGAUACCCUGAACCCUUAAGAAAUUGAAGAUGUUGUAAACCAUAAACGACUCAAUUGUUCAAAGAACGUCGUCUAACUAUAUUUUUACGUCGUAAUUGUUUAAAACACGAAACAACAAAAUACGACGGUUUGUGACUUUAUUAGGUCGUUGGAAAAGUAUUACACGUCGGUUAAGCAAUUUGUAUGUUUGUUUUUUUUUUAAUUUAAGAAAACCUCAACAAAUUUUUACAUUACAUAUUAUAGAGAAAAUUUGUACAUUAUACAUAAAUAUCAAGUGUUCAAUAAUUGCCCUGUUUAAUAAUUUGGAAAACAAACUCUGCCCAUUCAUUCCGGACUUCAUCAAUGGCUUCUUGGGGGUAUGAAGCUUCCUGGUUUCCCUUGGCAUACUGCAUAAACAAUGACUAUUAGGGUUUAUAAAUAAAAAGAAAUUCAAUCACAGACGACGAUAUUUUUCAUAACCGACGUAGUAUAUCCAUUCAACGACGUUAAUUUUACAUGACCGUCGUUGAUAAUACAAAAAACGACGUGAAAUGUAUGAAGGUAAUUUCUUCUUACCUUAUUCUCAAACCCCAAGGAAGGAUCCAUGAUGAUGUCCCUCAUGAAGCGCAUCACAUAAUACCCGCAUUCGACAUUGCUGGGUUGCUUUGGUGUGCCUGAGAGAGUUUUCCAAAUUACAUUUUUACGUCCUGCUCGGCCUAUGUGGGUAUUAUAUAUUUUUAAAGCACUGUUCACGAUGUUUUUCGCCUCUUCGUCGACCACACGAUGACCUGGCAGAGGAUCCAGAAAAUAGACGGUCUCCUUCUUUGCUCUUACAAUCAGCAGGAUCCAAUGACGGCUGCACAAAAUUAAUAUAAAAACGACGGUUAUUUACAAAAACGACGUAUUAUAGUAUUUCACACGACGAAAUAAAGUAGAUAACGACGACAUUAUAUAUUUAUCACGACGACAAAUAAAUACCGACGUGGUUAGUAGUUUCAAACGACUAAAUAAAAUAAAACACCGACGUGGUUAGUUUAUAAGCUGUCAUUUAUUGAAAAUCAUAAAAACAAAAUCCUAAGGAGACUAACCCUGGAUUGUAAGGCAUCAUGAAAAGCUGUUCACCGUCUGUCUUCUGAAGUCGAGCUGCUACCAGUCGUGAUCUUUCAGUUAUUGUGCCAGAGUUGGCACUAACUGUAGCAGGGUCAAUAAAGCCAACCAUGCUGCACAUAUUGGCUUGUUUCAAAACAUCGUGUAAGUACCUAAAUACAUAAAAUAAUAUAAACAAGUCAGCACAAACAAACACGACGGUUAUGUAUAAAAAAACGACGUAUUAUAAUAUUUCACACGACGUACUGAAAUAGAUGAGGACGUUAUAAUAUAUUUAUCACGACGGUAGUUAGUUAAGACGACGUGGUUAGUUAGUUAAGACGACGCAAUAUAUAAACCAACGAGGUAUUAUUUUAGAAGUACAAACCUCAUAUAUACAGCCAAUACAGUAGCUCCAAUUUCUUCCAUGCCUGCAAAUUGUGUAAUAUCUUCAGGCAGGAGGAAGGUAUCGCGCUCACCACCAAACACCUCCUUAUCAAUUGUAAAUUGGAGUGUCUUAUCCUCAGGCAGGAGUGUCGUUUCCACAAAACGACAAAGGGUUUUUAAAGAAGAUGGCGCCUCCAUAUUUGAAUAAGCACCAACUUCAAUAACCUGUUUAAAGAAAUAAAAAAAAUGACGUGGUAAUUCAAUAAAGACGACGGUUUAAGUAAUAAAACGUCGUCUUAAAAGUAUUUAAACGACGGUGAAAAAACUGUCGUGGUAAUUCAAUAAAGACGACGGUUUUAUGAAUAAAGCGUCGUCUGAAACCAUUUAAACGACGGUGCAAAAACCGUCGUUUAAAUAUUUUAUUACGUCUUAAAAAAAUUCCGCCGUCUAAGUUUUAAACAAACGACGGAUUAAAUAAAAAUAUCGACGUCUGAAAUUUUGAAAAACAAAUAAAAAAGGCAAAGUUAUGUGAACAUACCUUGUCGUCAUGCUUUUCUUCAUCUUCUUUCUCCUUUUCUUCUUCCUUCUCUUCAUCUCUUUUUUCUUCUUCCUUCUCUUCAUCUGGCUGAUGUUUCCCCAUUUUGGCAGUAUCAUCCUCCAAAUGUAGGGAUCUCACAUCACCUCCAGAGCAGCUAGCUUUGUCAGACAUUGGAUUUUUGGGGCUUUGGCUAAUUCUUGGUUUAAGCAUGCUUGGAUCAAAAUUGGGAAUUAAUUGGGAAAGCUGACUCAGGAAAUGCUCCCUCUCAGCCUCUACCAAUUGUUUUGUCCUAGCCUCCAUCCUUAAGGCCUCUUCCCUUGCCUUAGCCUCCAUCUUUUUAGUCUCUUCUUGAAGGAGAACUCUUAAACUGUCCUUCAAACGGUCGUCAAAGCUCACCCUCUGUGGUUUGGGCAAAUUGAAAUAUUGCCUUGGGGAAACACCAGCACCAACUCCCCUCAGUCUGCCUGGAUGCUCGGGGCCCAAAGCCAUGGUCAGCACAUCAUUGCUGCCAUCUACUCUGACUUUGCCUUCCGAGACUUGUUUCUGCAAUUCAUCCUAAAAAAAGAUAAACAAAAAAACACACGACGGUUAUUUAUGUACAAACGACGUAUUAUAUAAUUUCACACGACGCAAUAACGUAUAAACCGACGUUAUUAUAACUUAUCACGACGGUAGUUAUACCGACGUGGUUAUUUAUUUAAAACGACGAAAUGAAUAAACAACCGACGUCUUAUGCUAUAAUUAAAGAUAACAGAGUAGUGAUUCCUAUUUAGACCGUUAAUGACGUUUUUAAAAAAUUUUCGACGUGGUAAUAUCAUUCACACGACGCGAAAAUGAACCACCGACGUCUUAUGCUGUAAUUACAGAAAACAUAGUAGUGAUUCCUAUUUAGACCUUUAACGACGUUUUUAAAAACUUUUCGACGUGGUAAUAUCAUUCACACGACGAAAAAUAUAACAUACGACGUAAUAAGAAUAAUUCACAGUUUAAUAAAAAUUUAAAACAGAGUGAUAGUAGGCUUACAAUUAAUUUUGCUUUCUCUGCCACCUUUGGAUCAGGGAUGUUACCAUGUUUGUCCUGUCUAGCUCUCUUCCAUAAGGUAGAUCGAUCAAUUUCUACCCCAGGCAUGGUUUCCUCCAAUUGAUCCUCCAAUCCAGCAUAUCCUUUUCGAGACAAUCGAUGAUUGUACUCGAGUUUCUCCCUAAUCUGUGCAUGUUGAGAAUGCACAGACUCAAAAUCUUUGGAUAGCCUUGAAGCUACAAAGGCAUCCCAUUGUGCUUUCUCUAUGAAUUUAUAUGUUUCAGGGGGUUGGCUUAAUUUCUCCCUGUCAUUGGUGUAUGGAAGGAUAUAAUGCCUCGUUAGUGUAGACUUGAAAUCCUUCCAUUUCUUGGAAGCAGAAGCUAAAACAGAGGUCUUGCCCCCUUGGCCUACGACAAAAGCCAUGUCAACUGCUUCCCAAAUCUGCUCCUUUAUAUCCUUGGGGAUUUGGGACCAUUUCUUGUCCACAAGUGGGAUCCUGGAGCGUGCCAACACACCAAUAUACGACUGCAUCUCAAUAUGUGCUUGGCCAACACCUUUCCCCCUUUUAUUGUACUCAACAAUUGGCCUCAGUUUCUGAAGCUUUCUCUUCACAACACGAGGCAUUGUGCUCAUACCUCGACCAGUCUUUGAAUCAUCUGAGAUUGUUGUCUGGCUGGUUUGUUCUGUCUCAGCAGAUGAUGAAGCAAACUUCAUCUUCUUCGAAGACUUCAUCUCCUUCGAAGACUUAUCUUGAGGAGCUACCAUUCCAAGCUUCUUGGAGCCAGAAUCCUUAGUUUGUUGUUGAGAAACCAUUUUAACAGACAAAACUGCAAGUGAAAAUAUUUCAGGAAAACAUUAAGAACACAAACGACGGUAUUAAAAAAAUACGACGUAUGAUAUGAUUUUAGACGACGCAAUGAAAUAAUCUCAGACGUAAUAAAUGUUUAAAACCAUUAUUUAUAUAACGUCGUGGUAUAUAUGUUCACACGACGUCAAUAGUAAUACACCGUCGUGGUAAACUAUUAUUUAUAUUUUAUCGUCUAUAUUAGAUACCAACCCUAGUUUCUUUUUCUUUAUAUUUAUCAAAUAAGGGAAAAACAAAAACCAUUGUUCAGCGAAAUCAAACCUGCAAUUAAACAAGCAUAUAAAAAAAGACUAUUAUUUUAAAAACAACUUUGUCAAUUUUCAGACGACGCUAGAACAACUGACGAACCGUCGUGGUCUACCGUCGUCUUAUUUAGUUGAUGUAGUUGUCUUCAAAGUUGGAAACUUUCUCUCUUUGUCUGUAUAUUUUAUCAAACUUGGAAAGAAGUAAAAUGAUUUUGGCCAGAAAAAAGGUAAAAAGAUUUUUCAAACAAAAAACGUAUGAGCAUGCAAAACAGUAACCAAAAUAGUGAAAAUGAAAGCUUACCUUUUGCGUGCAAUGAAAGCAAGAGGAAGAUGAUCGAUGUUUAAGUUCAGAGACGACGAAGAAGACGAGAGGAAGACGAUGAGAAACUCUGACAAUGCUCUGACAAGGAAAAAAGACGAAAAGGUUUCUCUGGGAGAUUGAAAUUUUUAAUCGGGUUUGGAAACAGUGCAUGUGUAAGUCGAAAAGUUGCUUACAUAUAAAACCAUUUCAAAAAAAUAAUACGGCGGUUACAUUUAACUACGUCGUUUUUAACUAAAACGACGCAAUAUUUUUCAUUCGACGUGGAAUCAUUUCAUUUAACGUCGUUAGGUUUAAUAUAACCGACGUGGAUUUUAAUUUUUAAAUUAUGAAUAGAAUUUUUUUUCCCGUGACCUUUCAGUUUAUUUUUCAAUUACAGUGCGUUAUAAAUAGAGGUUUUUUUCCGGAGGAAAUUUAAAACGAAGGAAAUUAAUAUUCUGCAAUAUGUAAAGUUUCUUUUUUGGAUGACAGAUUUAAAUAAAAUAAGAAUAUAAAAACAACAAAUGUGUAAGUCAAGUAGACGAAAAGUUGCUUACAUAUAAAACCAUUUCAAAAAAAUAAUAUGGCGGUUACAUAUAACUACGACGUAUAAAUUACAAAAUACGACGGUACAUUUAACUUCGGACGUGGUAAAUAAAUACGACAGUAGUUUGUAGGUACCGUCGUAGUAAACUCAAAAAUUAAAGUACAUAAGUAAUAACUCGCGUCAUGGUAUAUUAUUUAACACGUCGUUUUUAUUAAUUUACCGACGUGGAUUUCUGUAAUAUACGUCGAUCAUACCGACGUUGAUUUUACAAUUUAAACGGCGGUUUGUUUGUAAGGACCGCCGUUGGUUUUAAAAAUUUAUUCUAUAAAUUUGUCGCUUUCAUUCAUUUUCGGUUUACAUUUAAGGUUCCAAGUUCUUCCUCUCUCAGUCUCUCAUGUCUCAAAGAUAAUAAUUUGGAUGUUUUCUCAAAGAGAAAUUGAGCUUACUCGCAUCAAAUAUAUGUCCACAAGAAGAAGCUUGUCAACUAGCCUUCUCACUUCCUUGAUCAAGCCUGAUAGGACACUUAGUGCUUCUGAAUACUCCUUGCUUUCCAUCAAAAGAGAUGCAAGCCUGGCCUCCACUCGCUGUCGAAGGAAAGUUCGCUUCUCAGGGAAAUCUGAAGAUCAGAUGUGCCUGAUCCUCUGCUUGAUUUUCUUGCCUAAGAAGAUCCGUCGGAUUUAUUGUGAUAGCCUCUUCCUUUAUCCGUAGAGCUUCAGAAGAAGAAGAUGGGUUUCAAGAAUGCGAUAAAGAAUAGAAAUGGCUUCAGAUGGCCUCUAAAGCAUGAGCAAUUGAAUCAGUAGUUUCUGGGAGAUAUGAUGAAGACAUUGUCAAUGCUUUGAACUACACAAGUCCUGCAGAAAGAUAUGUUAAAGAAACUGAAACAACGGCGGUUUUCUGUUCUACCGUCGUCUUUUCUCGUCGUCUAUAUUAAGUUACGAUGGCGGUAGAUUUAUAAUUACCGACGUAGAUUAUUUUGUUAAACGUCGUUAAGUGUACUACAACCGACGUGGAUUUUAAUUUUAAAUUAUAAAUGGAGUUUUUUUUCCCGUAUUCUUUCAGUUUUAGUUUUCAAUUCCAAAGCGUGAUAAAUAGAUUUUUCUUUCCCGAGGAAAUUUAAAAUGAGGGAAAUUAAUGUUCUAGAAUUUGUAAACUAACACGACGCAAUAUUUGCAAAUCUGUGUCAUCUGUUAAGAUUAUGAUGUGGAACAGAGUUCCAUCUGGUAAGAUUUCGUAACCCUUGGGAUCUCAGACAAAACUGAUUAUGUCGGCGGUGUUCUAUAUAAACCGUCGUGGUUAUUUCAAUUCUUGUCAUUAAGUAGAUCUACCGACGUAGGAUAAGAAAAUCAAAGAAAAAAAUUGUUAACAAAAAUUCUUAUUAAGACGACCGUUAAAAUUAAAGGUACGACGUAUAAAAUGAAUAAAUACGACGAUAAAUUUUAUUGUACGAUUUAAAGAUAACGUAGUAGAACUAUACGAGAAUGACGUCGAUAUAUUUAUAUUUUCCGUCGUUGUAAAUUAAUUUAAUACGGCGAUAUUUUGUAUUUUAAAGCCGUGGAUUUGUUUGUAAUUAUACGGCGUCUUAUACGAAAACCUCGUCGUGUUAUUUUAUGAGUAAAAACGGCAGUUUUUAUUGAAAUCGUCGUCUUUACUUUCUACGUCGGUCGAUUCAUAACUUCUGCCGUUCUUUGUUGGCAUUGAUUUUACACUGAGGAAAUCUGUUUCAAAUAGACGUCGGUUGUUUAAUUAUGUACGUCGUUGUUUUUGAACAGCCAUUUGAAACUCCAUUUUUUAGUUGUCUAAGGUUGUAUUACACGACGGUGUUUUUAGAACCGUCGUCUUUUUAUAAACCACGACGGUUUUCACUUAGACCGUCGUUGUUUUCUGGUCGUCUUUUUCACUUUUUGUAGUAGUGUGCGGACCAAGUAAGUGCAUUGAUGCGGAUAACAAGAACAAUAAAGAUGUGGACAAUGGGCUUCAUCAACUUCCGUGGUUUCAUAUUUUCACUAUGUUGGGGUUCAUAGUGGGAUUUUGGGGAGUCUGGUUCUGUAAUUAUUAACAAAACAUGGAGAUACGCAUAUUUUCGAUUCAUAGACAAUCUACAAUAUAUGCUCCUCUAUGUGAUGAUAAUAGUCCCCCAUGAACAGGAUGAAAAGAAGGCUUAAAGGCUAGAUAUAUAUUAUUAUUAUUGUACUUUUUAUUUUGCAUACUCAGUCCAAAGAUAUGAAAAUUGAUGCAUAUGCAUAUAAUACGGUUGUCAAUUGUGAAGGAUUGAUGUCUAUGCCUCAGUAACGAAGAUUAAUGUCUAUUGCUAAUAUAGAAGGCAUAUUUGUGUAUGGGAGCAUGAGUUAUAUCCCGCACAAAAAUGAUAAGAACUACUCUCUCUCACUUGUCUGUUAAUAUUAGUAUCUUUAUUAUAACAUAUGUUACCAAUAUGAAGUAUCUGUAAAACUAAUCACUUAGCCCAAAGGGAAGGGAAAUUGCUCCAGUUGUGAAUGAUCGGAUGAAGCAGCCAUUGCACCACUCAAGAUAAGAAAGAAAAUUCAAGAGAUAUUAAUGGCCUUUCUGUCUUUCGCAAUUUAUGAAGAUGUUGUACAAUAGAUGUAUUUGAAUAACUCUAGGGGCAUGGCAGUACCAAAAUCGUGCUCAACGACAAAACAUAUGGCCGAAGGUCAAAUUCAUGUUGAAGACAGAACUUGUGGCUGAAUGCAAAAUUCAAAAUCAUGGAGGAAGACCGUACGAUCGACCCAAGGCUAAACUCAGACUAUACUCAUGGCUGAAGGCCGAAUUCAUACUGAAGAAACUCCACAUGCUUGUGGCUGAAUGCAAGUCACGCAGUCACACAUAAAUUAGCACAAGCUGCGGUGAUUCACAUGUUGGCUGAAUGUGCCGGGCUUCAGUGGUUUGUUGUACUAGAAAGUUGAUUUUUAUUCGAGCAAUUUUUUUAGCCGCGAAGUAUGGGAUUACAAAUCUUGGUGAUUGGCAAUAUGGUUGGUAGUUCUCCAGAAAAGAAAAACUCCCAACUCCCAACUCCUUCCGAGGCCUUUAGUCUUUAAAAUGGGACCUGUAAUAACUGGAGUUAUGAUUAGGCCUCUGUUAUUUUGGGGAUCUCUUAGUUGGAUCAGGUCUCUAAAGCCUGUUUGAUUUUUAUUUCUAAUUCUGCGUAGUUGCUUCUGCGGGGUGCAUUGCCCUCCCCACCCCAGUUCACAAAGAAAAAAAAGACAGUGUUGGUCUCUAGAAUUCGACGAUGAAAAUUUUCCUCUUUGGCAGUCAAUGUUAGCAUUGGAAGUUCGCAUAAUUGCUUUUUGAAUGCUGGGUAUGAGAGUAAUUGCGUUUUUAAUACUGAUAUUAUAGUAAUCUUAAACUACCAUUCUGUUGUACAUUGUCUACCUGUUUAUUUGUUUGUUUUCAAUUAGUUUUUCGGCAAUCAAGUAUUCAUUUAUACAUGAUUGUCUACUUUCUUGUUAUUUUUUGUUUUGGCAGGAGAACCUUUUAUUAAUGGUGAAGCAGUACCAUACGAUCCCAAGUACCAUGAGGAAUGGAUAAGAAAGAAUAGCCGAGCAAACGAGAGAAACAGACGCAAUGACAGACCUUGAAAUUAUUACAGAUCAAGGAACUUUGAUAGGAGGAGGGAAAAUAUGCAGAACCGAGAUUUUCAGAACAGGGGUCAGCCUCCUAUGCCUAAUCAAGCUCGGCAAAAUCCUGGGCCUAACAUGCCUGGACCUGCCAACAACAUGAGGACUCCCAACAAUAUGGGCCCCUUGCCCCCCAACACGGGUCCAAUGCCUCCCCACAACAACAUGGGUCCAAACUACAGUAAUGUGCAGCAGCCAAACAACUGGAGUGGUGGGCAGCCCAACAACAAUAGCAAUCAAAGUUGGCCUCUUACAUGCUUGCCCAACAACAAUAGUAGUUGUACAUCUUUUUC
rnacentral:lncRNA from 1 species